UGGCACUCUGGAGGUGGACGACCUUGGAGGAGUCCCCCUUGGCCAUGGCCUCCUCGAGCUGCUCGAGGGCCUUGUUGUAGUUGGUGAUGUACGUCUGGUGGUGCUUCUGGUGGUGGAGCUUCAUGAUCUCGCCACUGAUGGCGGGCUCGAGGGCGCCGUAGUCGUAGGGGAGGUCCGGCAACGAGAAGGUCACGAGGCCCCGGGCUUGGCGGAGCCCCAACCCCAUCCCCGGGGCGGAGGCGCCGGCGGCGGCGCAGGGACUAAACACUAGCCCUAGAGCUAGGGUUUUCUUGCCGGCGAUCGCACGGAGAGCCAUGGAGACGGAGAAUACUGGAAGAAGAAGAGAGCAGGUGCUCAGCGGCGGAAGAUGGGCGAGAGGAGGCGCCCGCCGAGUUAUUUUAUAGCGCCGAGUAACAGUGGAUUCAAAGUUUAGCCCGAAUUCAGGUGGAAAAUUAUGGUACUGCCACUGUAAGCGGUUUUUGCGGUUUCAGGUUGCGAGCCGGCAAUUCGAAACCGUGGGCGCGGAUGACCGUUUGUAUUAGCGCGUGAGGUGGGUCGAGUGUGAGUUUGGGUCAAUCAUGNNNNNNNNNNNNNNNNNNNNNNNNNNNNNNNNNNNNNNNNNNNNNNNNNNNNNNNNNNNNNNNNNNNNNNNNNNNNNNNNNNNNNNNNNNNNNNNNNNNNNNNNNNNNNNNNNNNNNNNNNNNNNNNNNNNNNNNNNNNNNNNNNNNNNNNNNNNNNNNNNNNNNNNNNNNNNNNNNNNNNNNNNNNNNNNNNNNNNNNNNNNNNNNNNNNNNNNNNNNNNNNNNNNNNNNNNNNNNNNNNNNNNNNNNNNNNNNNNNNNNNNNNNNNNNNNNNNNNNNNNNNNNNNNNNNNNNNNNNNNNNNNNNNNNNNNNNNNNNNNNNNNNNNNNNNNNNNNNNNNNNNNNNNNNNNNNNNNNNNNNNNNNNNNNNNNNNNNNNNNNNNNNNNNNNNNNNNNNNNNNNNNNNNNNNNNNNNNNNNNNNNNNNNNNNNNNNNNNNNNNNNNNNNNNNNNNNNNNNNNNNNNNNNNNNNNNNNNNNNNNNNNNNNNNNNNNNNNNNNNNNNNNNNNNNNNNNNNNNNNNNNNNNNNNNNNNNNNNNNNNNNNNNNNNNNNNNNNNNNNNNNNNNNNNNNNNNNNNNNNNNNNNNNNNAAAGAAAAAAAAAACAGAGUGUCAUUGGUUACGGUGCCUCCACUUAAUACGGGACAAAUAAAGGGCGGCGUCGACCUUCUCUCGACCGGUUAAGGUGCAUGUACGUUUGUGGUCACCUCCCCUAAAAUUGAUGGUGUAUCUAUCCGCAGGAUUAAUGUGGAAAUCUCAGGAUUUCCAGACUCCAUGUGAGACCUUAAUCAAGGUUCGUAGUGCCAUCGUUGAACAGCAAAAUCAAAUCACGCAUAAAGAAGAAUUCUCUUUUCAGACAGGCAUAUCAUAGGCAUGUAACAAGUUAUGGAUGAAGAUGAUAUGAGUUUAUUUUCAUAUUCGAAUCAAUUCAAAUAUGGAUAAAUUUGAAGAUUUAACUAAUAUCUCUAUUCAUAUUUAUAUUUAUAUAAAAAAAAAUAUAGAUAUGGAUUGACAACUAUUCGAUCGAUAUCUAAAUAUCCGAAUCUAUAUAUAAUUUUAUAUAAUUAUAUAUAUUAUUUAUUAAUUUUUUUUUAAAAAUACAAUCAUAUAAAUAUAUUAUUAAUUUAAUUUAUUAUCUAUUUAAUAAUAUUUUUGAUUUUAUAGUCAUAAAAUUUAGUUAUCCAACUCAUAUCUGUAAUUGUAUCUAUUUUUUUAAUAUCUGAAUUAUAUCGAUAUUCUUUUUAAACAAUUAUGGAUAUAAACUUUUGCAUUCGAAUAAUAUCUAUAUCAAUAUUGUAUUCAUUAGAUAAAAUAAAUAUUGAUAUAAAUAUAAUGGUAUCCGAUCCGAUUUCAAUCCUAUAACAAAUAAUCAAAAAUAUGAUAAAUUUGUACCCACUACGACGUCUUAUUGCCACUUGUGCAUGGUACAUGAUAUAAGUGAUAGUGGUCCACCCUGCAGGAUGAGCAUGUCAAUACAUGCACUUGCAAUGUAACUUACUUUCCUAUGCAUGAUAGAGGUUUUAGUUAAUAUAGCUUUUACUUUUAGCAUCUCCUAUCUCACUUUUGUUGCAAAAUAGUUUCCGCAAACGUGUUAAGUCAAAUAAAUUAGACUUAGAGCUAAACCCUAUAAGUGCACUGAGCCCUUAUGAUGUUCUUCAUGGAUUACGUGCAUAGUAUUUUACUUGCAUUUUUUGAAGAUAUUAGAAGCAAAAUAGUUCAAGACUAGUGAACCGUGGCAAAUCUGAAAUUUGAUUUUUUUUAUUUUGACCGGGAAAUCUGAAUGUUUAUUAGAAUAGGACUCAUGUUUAGUUGGUCUGACCAAUCAGUGUUCUUAUGCGAGUGGCAAUGCUAAGGGUUUUGACCAAAAAGAUGGAAACCGCUCCACCUGAACCGGUUACAACUCACUUCCAAUUCAACAUGGCCAAACUUAUAAUUCAUAUAUUACCUAUUUUUAGAGUGCAUUUUAUUUGCAAUCAAAAUUAAAAUCAGAAUAGUUUGGAAUGGAAUCAAAAUGACUAUAUCCUCAUGUAUUUGGUUUACGAUGAAAAUCAAAACAGAAUUUGAAUAUAGAAAGAAAGUAAAUUUUUGAAGAGUAAAACUUUCCUAUUUAUCUUUGGAAUUAGAGUAGAAAGAGAAACCUUCUUAAUCCAAUAGUUGAAAUAGGAGUCAACUCAUUUCUUUUCUCAAGAAUCCAACUUUCAUUAAUCAAACAUAUCUUAUAUUUAUGGGUUGAAUCCUUUGAGACUAACCCUAUAAAACAUUAAAAUGGGUAUCCUUAAAUUAAUGAUAAUAAUUUUUUUUUUGAUAGAAGAUAAUAACAAGCUUGUUACGGAGCCCUGCUUGCUCCUGCGCCAUUGAGGUCCCCUUUUUAUUUUUUAUUAUUUUUUUUUUAUUGGUUGGGGGUACGAGCGGUGGAGCUUAAGCCAGUCGUUUAACCACAGGACCAACACAGAGCUGUUAUUUAACUUGCAGGUGCAUUAGCACUUAGCAGACAAAACCAGAAAAGAUAAAAUGUUAGCAAGGAAACCUUUGCUUUAGCCUCAACAUAAAGAAUAGUUAUCAAAUAAUUUCCCAGGAUAAGGAAAUAAAAUUCAAACCAUCAACCGAAAAAGAAAAAAAAAAUUCUAAGAUACGGCCAAACUUAACAAUAUGGACAAAGAUAAUAUGGACAAAGAUACUAUAUUUUAAAGAUACCUCUCAUUUGGUCGAGUUGUGCGCCGUGAAAAGAACUGCUGAGAUUGAUAAAAAUAACAUGCUAUCAACAACGCAUAAAACAAACAUGAAUGGCAUAUAUUCAAAGUGGUGGGAGAUUGAAAUUUUUUUAUGAAAAAUUAUUAGAUUUUGAAUAAUUCAAUAAAAUAUUAUUAUAUUGUUUGGUUCCAAAAUUUUCAAACUUCCAUCUUGAUUAAAAAGUAUAAAUAAAACUAAAAUAUAUAAUUAAUUAUGAUUAGUUAUUUUUAAUUUAAUUUUUAUUAAAAUUUUUAAUCUCGCCAAUGAUGGUGUUUUGCUGGUCCAAAAUAUAAUAUAAUUCUAACUGUUGCGGUCAAUCCCUUAGAGCACCUACGAAGAAGUCCAUACUGAUCGAAGUUGUGUCCAGUAGAGACCUUAGAUGCUUAAGUCAGUAGGAAGUAGCCGAACAGAAAGUAGAAUAUCAAAAUUGACAGAAUAUCAGUCCAGAAGUAUCUUACCAAUGCUAUUCGUUUAUCUUUUUUUUAUAGAUGACUUGUUUGGUAACCAUUUAUAAUAGUUAGAUACAUGAAUCUCGCUUAUUCUGAUACUAUGUGAUCGUGGGAUGGACAAUUAAUGCCCAUUGAUAAUUAUGAUAUGUGACCGUUAUGCGUUUUCUACACCGGUGGUUUUUGUUAUACCGACUUUAUGUCGAUAGUCUGAGUAUGCCGAUGUCCGACUGUAUGUCAGCAAUUAUAGAAAUCUAAAUGACUAUCGAUUGAUGACUCUGAUAUACCAACUAGCCAUCAGUUAUGAAGUCAGUCGGGUUAUCAUAAUUGACUUGAUCCCGUCAAAGGGCCGAUUGAGAAUUUUCAACUUAUCGAUGUAACCGACUAUCUGUCGAAUAUCUGUGUUCAUAUCACCGAUCGCUAGUCAGAGAAUAGACCUUGUGGUCGCUUCGUAUCCACUCGAGAAGUCGAUUGAGAAUUGCCAAUUGUCAGUCAGUUUACCGAUUGGCAGUCGGCUAUCUGUUCUCUGACGUUGAUAUAUAACAUCGGAUGAUACACCACAAUCUUUUAUAUAUCUAAUUUUGAUGUUUUAUCAUCUGUUGCUGAUUUAUAGUCAAGAUGACCAAUUAUAUGCCGAAAAAGCUAAUACUAAGUCAGGGGGAGCAAAUCCAGUUGCCCCAACACUAACCAAUAUUUUUUUUUUUUUGAAUAAAGAAAGCCAAUGCAGCAAAUAUCUUCGCCGUUCGAUGGGAGGGUAGUUGAGUUCGGAGAUCCAACAAGAAAAAUUUAUUGCAUCACUUGAUGUGACUGAAUUGUGCGUGAGCUCAGCUCUAAUGGUGGCUUGUGCCCGUGAUGCAAGCUGCCUCAGCCUAACAUGACCAAAGCUGAUGAGAAUCUUAUCCUAUUCGAUCCAAGGGCAUCAAAUGAAACGUCGACGCUAGAGAAACGCAAAAUACGAGCAGCCUGUGUACAGAGCCAAACCAGCAAUACCAUCUCUGGAAUCCAUAUCUAAAUCUGUAUUCACUUUUCUUUUCAAUUUUUAAUUAGAGCAAAGCUAGUGAAACUUUGCAAAGUGCAUUUGUCUGAGGUUUUAGAGAAAGCGUACAAAGUACAUUGCUUAAGUAUAUAAAUAAAAGUUAAAAUUGUUUCCACUAACUCCUAACGAAGUAUCAUGUUGUUUUACAUUAAAACAGGGCUUGUUUAGAUUGGUCCCCGUUUCCAAUUAGAGAUUGUUAUCUAGCAAAUAGAUCUAUUGUGUACUACAAUUUAGUGGGAACAUAGAGAUAAUGUUAGAGUUUUUAAGAAAAAACUCAAAAUAUUUCUUCCUCCUUAAGGUCCCUAAAAGUUAUACCUUGAGUUCAGCUUCAUAUUGGACAAAAUUAUCAAUAUGUCUGUAAACCAUUUUUUCUUACACAUCUUUGCUUGGGGGCGUUGAGAGAACGUGGAUUUUAUAUUUCACACGUGCGUCGAUCCGAUUCGAUUUGCACGCACAGAAUAAUAUUUAAUUAUUUAAUUAUUUUAUUUUAUUUUUUAUUUUACUAUUCUUUAGUUCAAUAUUUUGAGAACUCUCUUUUCGUAUAGUGAUUAUACGUUUUUGAAUUUUUUCUUCAUCUACAUCAUAACUUAAUAAGCCAAUCUAAUCAAACUCUCGAUAAAUCAUAUUUUUUAUUCUUAUCCGUAUCAUAUAGUUUACCUAGGUCUGAAGUUUAUAAAAAUUUUUACUUAAAAAUAAUUCUUGAUUUGAUAAAAAUUUUUCUUCAAAAGGAUUCUGAUAACAGAUGACACUACCUUCUUCAAGUAAAAUAUUUAAAAACCUUUUUGAGCAACGGUAAAAUAUUUGAAAACCACUUGAUGGAUGAUAACAAUAACUAUAGUGCAAAUUCCCAAUCUGAUGAGAAAAGGGCUAAUUGGCACAUAGUAGAUGCAAUGUGAUCCGUGAAGUAUUCUUGGUAAAUUGUUUCAUUCUUUUUCUUACCGUGAAAGGGGAGGAAGCGGGCCCUCUUUUUGUUAUAUCCUUUCUUCUUCAUUUUGGAUUUGCUGAUGCAGGAACAAAAUUGAAGUUUUUUUCUUUAUGGAAAUAAGAUACAUUUUAUUGACAAAUAAAGUAUGAUGCACUUUAUAUUGUUCUUUUUUAUAGAUGUAAUCUACUUUUGGAAUAUACAUCGACUCUUUUAAGAAAAUGUAGUAGUGUACCAAUAAUUUAAACAAGAGCUUCAUGUUUAAGACAGGAAACAUGCACAAUGCGUGCAUUAAGCAACCACAAAUUCCUGUGUUCCAACGCCAUUGUGGAUGAUUGUUAUCUAUUAAAAAGUUGUACAUUGUAUGUUGAUACCAAAUGUUCCAAUCAACUGCCAUUGUCAUCAAUGCAUGUAAUAUCUUGCAAAGUAGGAUACUCUAUUAAUUAGUUGUGCUCGUAAACUUCAUCCAUGUCUCAACUGUAAUCUACCAAAUACCUGACUUGAUCCAAGCUGAAUGGGAUGGAUUUUAUCUGAUCCUAUCAGAAUCUCGGGUAGAUAUGGAUAAUGAUAUGUGACAUCCUGAAUCUUAUCCAACAUAAUCUUUAUAUAUAUAUAUUUAUCAAAAUUAUAAAUAUUUUAUAAUAUUUAUAUAUAUCCAAUGUAAUUCUUUUGAUAUAUUCUAACCCACAUCUCUAUCCGAUCUGCCCCGACUCGAACUGGAUAUAAGGCAGAUAUGGAUAUAAAAUUUUUAAUUACAGGAUAGAUAAAAAUAUUGACCGAUCCAAUCCAUAUCUGAAUAUGUUGCCAUCCCUAUGUGAAUAAUUAUAAGUGGCCUCAAAAAAAUGAAAAAAAAGCGUCUAGCUAAAUUUGAGAACUCAAGAAAUUAUAACAUUGAGUUUUUAUGAAAUACUUUAACAUCCAAAGCUGUUCAUGGGAUGCGACCUUCUAAAAAUCCUGAAACCUUGACAGAUUUGGCUAUCACUGGUAUCUUCUNNNNNNNNNNNNNNNNNNNNNNNNNNNNNNNNNNNNNNNNNNNNNNNNNNNNNNNNNNNNNNNNNNNNNNNNNNNNNNNNNNNNNNNNNNNNNNNNNNNNNNNNNNNNNNNNNNNNNNNNNNNNNNNNNNNNNNNNNNNNNNNNNNNNNNNNNNNNNNNNNNNNNNNNNNNNNNNNNNNNNNNNNNNNNNNNNNNNNNNNNNNNNNNNNNNNNNNNNNNNNNNNNNNNNNNNNNNNNNNNNNNNNNNNNNNNNNNNNNNNNNNNNNNNNNNNNNNNNNNNNNNNNNNNNNNNNNNACACACACAGACAUACACACACAUACAUAUACAUACAUACACACACAUACAUAUACAUAUACAUACACACACAUAUACAUAUACAUAUAAUAAUAAUAAUAAUAAUAAUAAUAAUAAUAAUAAUAAUAAUAAUAAUAAUAAUAAUAAUAAUAAUAAUAAUAAUCUGUAAAGGAGUAUUGUAGUGUUGUCAACUUAGUUUUUUUAAAUGAGUUUUGUUGUGCCAUCUGGAGUUGUUAUAUUCUUUUAUAUUUAUUGUCACUAAUUUUAAAUUAUUUAUUCAAUUUUUUCAGUUGGAAACUCAAAAUUUGUUUGUUUAUUAAUAUUUGUAGUCCAUCAAGAAUAUAUAUUAAUCUCUAUUUAAUAAAUAUAUGAUGCAUUUUCCUAAUAUAUAAGAUGUAAAAUUAUUCUUUCUUAUUCACUAUUGCAUCUGAACAAUUAAAAAUAGGAUAAUAACAUUUGAAAAAUUUAUUUCAUAUAUCUGAUCCCACGUAACGUACGGAUCUUUAACUAAUUAGAAAAGAAAAUAAUGGAUGUGCGUUUGCAACCCACAUAGCAACAAACUUCGUGGUCCUAAAAUUGGAAGGCUAAAAGUCUUAUUAAACAAUUUUUUAAGAGAUCACAUGAAAAAUUUUUAGAUUGAUUUUUUAGUCAAGUGCUUAUCUUUAUUUUGAUAUUCACUAAUACAAAGGAAUACAAGUAGCCUGUUAGAGAGACACUUGAGGGCUUGCAACAUCAUCGUCUAUUAGAACUAAAAGUCAUCUAGUGGAUAAAUGAGAAAUGGCUUACUCAUUUAGCAAUAAUAAUUAACAGGAAAAAAGGAAUGGAUAUGUCCACAAAUUCUACUGCACAAUUCAAUAUUUUCUUUGCUGCAACCCAAUAAAGCAACUUGUAAAGAAAGCCUUAAAAACAUGCAUUAACAAACUAUAUGCAAUUGAAAAAAAGGAAAGAAAAUGAGAAACACUAUCUGUACAAACAAUAUUAAAAUACCUACAUAGUUGAUAAUUAGCAUUUUCUCCUCAUCCACCAUUUUGUUUUGCUAAUAAGUACCUUUGAUGAUUAAUUAAUAAAUAGUUCUCUAGUUAAACAGACAAUACUUAGGACAUAAAUAAUACCUAUUUUUAAAGUUUAAAAAGAGAACAUUAUGCAAAAUGCAAAUCUUGAUUAUAAUUAAAUUAGUUCAUAAUUAUUAUUAUAAAGGAAAAGGAGGUCUAAAAUAUGUAACAAUUUACACCGUAAGGGCAAAAGAAGAAACCUAAAAUUUUUUUUAAGAAAAGAGUAUCCUAGUGCAUGAGACAUCGGCUAUUAUAAGGUUUGAAAAAGGUUAGAUGUAUGCAACCUUGUUUUUAUAUAUAGAGAGAUUAUUUCUAUAUUUUACAUCAAUGACUUUCAAAUCAUAACAGAUUAACAUAUUAUUACAUCAACGCUCACCUUUUUAAGCUUAGAAUUUUGUAAAUUAAAAUAUUAUCGUGGGUCUUUAGCCUAUUCAUAUUUUCAAGAGCAAAGCUGCCAAUCCAAAUUUUCAUAAAGACUUUUCAUGAUAGGAGAAUAUUCUAGAGCACUAUUCAAUUCACAAAAAAAUAUUCUUUGCCCAUUGAUGCAACUUAAAUGUCCAGUCAUAUCGUGCCAAUUCUCACGAGUUACAUUACUCGUUUAUAACCGCAUCGCAAAAAGAUAUUUGUGCACAUGAAAUAGGCUCCAUUUACAUUACUCUUUAAGAGUUCAUGAACAUAAUCCAGUCGUAUUAGUGCUGUCUUAUCAACCUAAAAUCUAACCAUCCUAUAUAUCAUGCCAAUUCUUGUAAGUUGUUCCAAUCGUCUAACAACAUGGUGUAGAAAAGCUUUUCAUUUCUCUAGAACAAGCACCAUUUACCUUUUAGUGAACAUCAUCAUCUUACAUGGAGGGUUUUGUUCAAGCUUCCAUAUGACCUUGCAAUGGAAUUUUACAUCAUUUUUGUAUUUCUACCAUUUAAUGAAGUUUCCUCUAUCGUUACCACUUGUCCAUCAUCUCGUAUGAAGACUCUCGCCUGUACAUGACUAAUAAUAGAAAAUUUCACUAUUUAGUGAAGUUUCCUGUAUUGUUGCCAUCUGUCCAUCAUCUUAUAUCGAGGGUUUCCUCCAAACUUCUAUACGACCUUAUAAUGGAAUUUUCCAUCAUUUUUAUAUUCUCUACCUGUCUACCAUUUAGUAAAAUUUCCUUCAUCGUUGCAUCGACCACGGAGUAGUAGUAAAUUGGUAUUUACUUCAUUUUUAUUUCUAUUUAUCUUCGCCUAAUAACCCUGGGUCUAAAGCUCCGCCUUUUGUUCACACACACGCACACACACGCAGAGCAAAAAUAGAUAAAUAAAUGAAUAAAUAAUUAAAAAAAAAAAAAAAAAACAACCCUGCAACACAAGAUUUCCAAACCCGGCAUUACUAAGCACACGUAACGCCAAUGUCGUCGACCGUAAGUCAUUCUUUAAUAAACAUCUUCACCCGAAAAACAAAAUAUAUAAAGAUUUAUUUCCUUGGGCAGCGCAGUUUUGUAGGUUUUUGUUCCCUUCGCCAAUUUCCAUUUCCCAAAGCAGCGCACCGCACCCCCCCACGCCGGCUCUCUCUCCCCCUCUCAACCCCUGCUUUUCCAGCAUAUUUUGUCCUUCUCCAACCCCUGCUUUUGUCUCCAUAUCCAGGUGUUGGAUAUAUUAAGGUUUGGGUCGGGAGUGGUAUCCCACCUCUCAAUCAUCCUAUUAAAAAUCCACGCGCUUUGUUUCGUCUCCCUCUCUCUUCGUUUGCUCCUCCUCUCUUCCUGGUUUUGCAUUCCUCUGGUCUUUUAUCGUCUCAAGAAGAACCAUUACCAUCUUUUCCCACCCACUUCUCUCCUCGAGAUCACGAUGCACCGUAACGACCCACUAUACGGUGGGGGUUUGGCUGAAGCAGGGGAUCAGGAAGGCAAGACUACCGGAGGAGAAGAAAAGAAGAUGGGCAAUAAAUCCUUGUGCUGGCCAAAUAUUAAUGAGGUAAUUCCAACGCACAUACCUCGCUCCUUUCUUUCUUUAGUGUCUGUUUCCUGAACAAGUUAUACAUUACCAUCUAUAAUUCUAUGAUUUAUUUGUUAGAGAAUCAUGAGGAAAGAGAGAGGCAGGCUGGAUUGUGGACGACAAGUCUCUCUCUUUCCAAACUCUUCUUUCUUUUUUUUUCCCCAAAAAGAAUAAUGGUGUACAAGUUAGAGGUAAAAGGGAGAUUGAAGCGUAUGGAGGUUCCAAACUGCAAGAGGGUCCUCCAGCAUAGUUGGUACUUGUCUUGUACGGACCUUCCAUCCUUAGCCGGGCUGGGCUUGAGAGCAUGGGCAAGGCCCACACGUACACGUUGCAUGUGAGGCUCACUUGCAGUGCUGCUUCUGGGGCUCCCCCAUGGUGUCAGCAAAAGUUUUGUCUGGUUCCAUCGGAAACCAUGUACCAAUUCUUUGUAGGAGAGUGAUUGCGAGGGGCCAAGCCAAAGGCUGAUCUCACCCGGUAAGCAUGAUUGAUUUUGGUCAUUUGAGAUUAAUUUGUUUGCAUUUUAGAUUUUGGAUCGAACUCUCUCUUCUUCUUCAUCAUCCAAAGCUACCUUGGGAAGCCAAACUUCCUUUGAGACCUCCAUUUUUGCUCCCUCUGUUCUUCGAAACUUCCAACAACUGUUCCACCUUCUGUACAUAUGGUUUGUCUUACUAAUAAUUUCGGGUGGCAUCGACCUUCCUUAUCACUCCCUUAUCAUUAAAAAGGGAUUGUUUUGAAGUAUGAAUUAAUGGUGUAGCUGGGGGGCAUUCAUUGAACUCGUCCUCGGUGGAUUGUUUUCUUUGUUGGGGGGUGCAUCUUUCCUUUGGAAAUUCUGUAAUUAAGCUACAUUUAUUAUAUAUUUAAUAUAUGAGUUGGUUGAUGUUAUUUAACCAUUUUUGUUUUUUUGUUGAGAAGUUUGAAUUGCUUGGUCGUGCAGUCCUGCCAUAGAAUUGUCUAUGCUAAGGAUGUGAAAUUUUGGGCACCUCAAACCCAAGACUAUAUAUAUAUUCCUUUUUUUACUUGUGCACUGAUGCCAUAUUGAAAUUUUAGCUGAUCUAUUUACUCUUAGUGAACAUAGAAAAUCCUAAAAACACUAGGAUAAUCUCCAUUUAAUGAAUGAUGUCUUGCCACAUUAGCAUAUAAAUUAGGAGGUAUUUGGUUUGCAGUUGGAUUCAGAAUUGGAAUAAAUUGUAAUAGAAAUUGAAAUGAUUAUAUCUCUCAGUAUAUUUGAUUCAUGACAAGAAUCAGAAUCGAAAUCAAAAUAAAAUUUGAAUAACAAGAAAACGUAAAGACUGAAUUCGUAAGAAUUGAGAUAUUUUCAUUCCUCUCUAAAUUAGAAUAAAAAUGAGGCUCUCGUCAACCAAGCAACAGGAUGGGAGUCUUAUUUUUAUUUUAGAGCUCAAUUUCUUUCAACCAAAUGUAUCAUGGAGCGUGAGCAUGAUAUUAUUUUAGGAUGAGAUGUCCUUAUGCCGUGGAUGCCACAUCCUCAGGGCACUACUUUUUAAAUGGUUACCAUGUUUGUGUUUUUGAGUCUGGCUCCUCUCACGGAGUCGUGGAGUCAUGUUCUGCUACCCCCGGAUGGGUUUGCAGGAGUCCCUUGUUACGUUGCUCGAGUUUUUUUAUUUUUUUCGGUUUUUUGUGUUAGAAAAGACUACGAGACAGGAAACAAAGAGGAUGCGAACUUUUCUAGCAUAAGCUCGUGAAUGAAGUCUCCGUGAUGGUUGUUUGGACGUUAGCCAUCUUGCCCGCUCUAGACCACACAAAAAGCCUUCGGCGACGGUUAUGAGUGAAGGGGAACAAUUGCUUCCUUGGGAUAUGGACACUCUUAUCUCGCCAGCGGUUGAAUGGUGAGGCCCCAGGGGAACCUGUCAGGUAAAUUGUGCUGCACCGAUUGCUGGACUAAAAGUAGAACUACGUUCAAAAUGCCGUUACCUCAUUAAGUGCAACUAGACUUGGUCCCCUGUCCAAAAAGCUAAUGCAGGGACGAGUAGGAAUCAUGGAGAGAGAGAGUACUUCCAAGCUGCCACUUGGGUUGCAUGUAAUCUCCUAACUCCCCAAUCCACAUAAAAUAAAAUGAUGGGUACAACUCUCAUCUUCGAAACCGUGAAAACCAGCUCAAAAUUGGACUCCAGAUGGCAAAGAUUUUUUCCCAAGCAAACGAUUUAUAUACGGGUCUCGUGAUUUCUGGCCAAGCAAUGCUUGGGUGCCAGUUUCGUGCACAUGAAUAGUUUCUCUAUCAUGUGGCACGAGAGGAUUGGGGUAAUUGGCAAGGAUGGGGACAAUACAUGGAGCGUGGUUGAAUGGUAAGUUGCCAAGCCAUCAUUAGAUGGGCUAUAAACCAAAUGCACUGGUUCCUUAAUAAACUCUCGAUCCCUCGCACCUUGCUGCUCUUUUCUUCGUUCAUUUAAUCUCUGCUUACUAAACAAUUGUGCUUUGUUGGUGAUUUGAUGCAGGCAGUAGAGGAACUCAUCUCACUGUACCAAAUCGUUUGGCCCAUAGUGAUAACAAGCUUCCUCCUCUACUCCAGGUCAGUCGUCUCGAUGCUUUUUCUGGGCCACCUCGGUGAUGCUGAGCUUGCCGGAGGAUCGCUUGCCAUUGCCUUUGCCAACAUCACCGGCUACUCUGUCCUCAAGGGCCUCGCCAUGGGCAUGGACCCCAUCUGCGGCCCGGCCUUUGGAGCCAAGCGGUGGGCCGUCCUCCGCCGGACUUUCCAAAAGACCAUUCUCCUCCUCCUCCUCUCAACCAUACCUAUCUCUGUCCUCUGGAUCAACAUGGAGCCCAUCCUACUACACCUGGGCCAGGACCCAGCAAUCUUUCCCUCUGCAAAGUGUUACCUCCUAUUCUCCUUCCCUGACCUCCUAGCCCAAUCCUUCCUCCAUCCACUAAGAAUUUUCUUAAAAGCCCAAAGCCUCACCACCCCUCUUACCUUCUGUGCUGCCUUGGCCCUCAUCCUUCACAUCCCCAUCAACUGGCUCCUGAUAUCAUACUUUAACCUGGGAGUGAAAGGAGUGGCUCUAGCUUCAGCUUUGAACACAGUUAACAUCAAUAUGGGCCUAGUGGCCUACCUGCUGCUAUCUGAGAAAGCUCUUAAGCCAUGGCAUGGAACCUCGCUUGCAUGCUUCCAAGAAUGGGCACCCCUCGUCAAGCUCGCCGCCCCGAGCAUGGUGUCUGUGUGCCUUGAAUGGUGGUGGUAUGAGGUGAUGCUGAUUCUCUGUGGCCUUCUAUCUGAACCCCAGCCCAGUGUCGCUGCAAUGGGUAUUUUGAUACAAACAACAGGCCUCAUGUACGUCAUCCCAUCAUCUCUCGGUAUGGGCCUGUCAACACGGGUGGGCCAUGAGCUGGGCGCAGGCCAGCCGGCUCGGGCACGACGUGCGGCGAGCACGGGCCUCGUGGUGGCAAUGGUGUUUGGGCUCGCGGCGUUUGUGUUCACGGUGGCCGUCAGAGGUGUGUGGGGGAGGAUGUUCACCGGCGAGACGAGAAUUCUAGCACUGACCGCGGCGGCGCUGCCAAUCGUCGGGUUCUGCGAGCUCGGGAACUGCCCACAGACGGCAGGUUGCGGGGUUCUGAGAGGGAGUGCCCGGCCCACGUUCGGGGCGAACAUUAACUUUAGCUCGUUUUAUCUUGUUGGGCUUCCAGUAGCCGCCGUGGCGGGGUUCAGACUGGGGCUGGGGUUUGUGGGGCUGUGGCUUGGGCUGGUGGCGGCCCAGGCCUCAUGUGCGAGCCUGACGCUGUACGCGGUGGCGCGGACGGAUUGGGAGGCGCAGGUGGAGAGGGCGGAGGAGCUGACGGGGGGUGGGUUUGGGGAUGGGGAGGAGGAUGACUUGGAGGCCAGCCUUCUUGGCUGAAGAGUAUAUUAACAUUAGAAGUGGUGUUAGAACAUAAGCAGAGCUGAUAUUUCAAUAGAAUGGGAGCAUAUUGUUGUACAUGAACUCCUCAAAUAAAAGACCUGAAUUUUGUACCCCCCCCCCAACCCCACCAAAAAAAAAAGAUCAGAAUUUGCAGUUUCAUAGAGUAAAAAAAGUUUUUUUUUUUUCCCUGAACCGAGAGGAACUUUUAGGCAUAAAUAGUUUUAUUUGAUUUGUUGGGACUUUCCCUAAUAUAUUGAACUGCAUAUCUCUUAUUUGUGACAGCCGUCCUGUGUAUCGUUCACUUGUACAAUUAAUUCUUCUUUUAAUUGAGGAUUUAUGAGGCUAAGAGACGAGGGAUAUUGACUAAACUUACAAGACAAAGGUGUGGAAUGAAAAUAAAAACCUGGGAAGAAUUCCUCAAGAACUAGAAUCCAAAUUGCUUUUUCUUUUUUUUUUGGUAAAGAAGAUUCUUUGCUGUUAACUUACAAGAGCAUAGCGAAAAGAAUGCACAGAUUCUUUCAGUUCUCACGUACGGGAUUUGUCAAAAUGAUUUGAUUCGAGACGAGGCAUGAAGAAGAGCUUUUGCUUUUAUUGUAAAAAGUGAAAGUCUGGAUUUAAAAUCAUAAUUUGGGGCAGUACCCAUGACAAGAAUAAAAUUCUUUAUUAUUAACUUAUAAAAGCAGGAAAAAAUGCAUAGGAAAACGCCUUUGAUCCUUUCUGCUCUCAAGUACUGGUCUUGUAAAAAUGCUUUGAUUGUACAAGCAGGUGGGUCACAUUUCUAACCCCUAUAAUAUAAUGGCAUCCUGUAAGUUUAGAUCCAUGUAUGAUGUUGUGGAUCAGGGCAUAUUUCACGCACGCAAAUCCUUGUCUGAGCUCCACACUGGGGCUUUUGUAGCGGCAGCAUCUGUUACUACAGCAGGUCCAUUUUCAACAGUGAGUAAAGGAUCAGAGUCACUUUCUUUUACCUGAAAUAGGGAAAAAAAUAAAUUAGCAUCGAGUAAAUAUGAUGAAGUAUCAUGUUUCAGAUUAUGAAAAGAUUCAGAGAAAUAGCAAAAUCUAGUUAAAGACAAAAUUUGUUCAAAUCAUUUAGUAUGCCGUAAUGUCUAGAUCUUCUGACUUCACUUGAAUUAACACAUACAACUAAAGCAUUAAGUAUAUGAGGGGAAAAAAGCAUCAUGCAUCUAUCUCAAUUUAGAAACGCCAGAACAUCUAUAGAUUAACAACUCCGCACCCCCUCCCCGAAACAACCAUCCUUCCAAAUCCCAGUUUUACCAUCAGCUACAAUGAUAUACUAAUUAUAUGCCAGAGGCAGAAGCUAAACACAAUCAUAGAAGCAACCUUUGGGGUGAAAAUGGACGAUGAAUUUCAUGAAUUGAGCAAAUACCAUGUUCGAUUUGAUAUUUGGUUAGAAAACCAAGUGUACAGAUAAUCUCUGAACCACCAUGGGGUGGUUGGGCUUGAUCUGGAAACAAAAUGCUGCUAUUAAUGAAGGCAUAAUGUUCAGACAUGUCAGCAGCAACUGUUCUCUAGCCGUGAUAAUAGAUAUGAACUAGCAUCCAAAAAAUGACUGAUUUGUUGGUAGAUAUCACAAUAUUACCAUGAAUCCAUCAUGUUUCUCUACAUUAGUUUUGAAUGAGAUAAUGUCCUUAUUACCAUACUGCCAUGUGUUUAUCUGCUCAAAAUUAUUACUUCAGCACAUGCAGAUAUUCAAAGUUCCUCAUUUUCCACAUAUAAGUCUUACCAGUAUGUGUAUGCUUGUAACAAUCUUUAAGCAGCAUAAUAAAAUGUGGCUGACUUUACAACAGUGUAUCUAAAUAUUACCUAUCUCCUUAAUAAGCAUUAUUGGUAAUGUAAUGCGUAUGAAGCAUAAAUUGUGACCAAGGAAAAGAAGCCAGAUUUUACUAAAAUGUCCCUGAUGAUCAAAGCACGUAUCCAAGGGGCCAACAGUCUGGAAAGUGACGCAACAUGCAGGAUAAAUUAAAGCCAGUAGUACCUGUGAUAUCUGAGCAGAUGCUUCAGUAGCUUUUUGCUGGGUCUCAAUUGUAAAGAAAUAAGAAUACAAGAUCAUCCCAACUAACGCAACUAGAAUUCCAAAUAUGUUUCUCCAGCUAAAUGGAUCAUGAAGUAAAACAUAACCAAAAACCAGGACAAGGCAAGUUUUCAGAUGGCCCAAGACUUGAUAGGUGACAGGUGAUGUCUUUCCAAUUACUAGAAAUGUACUGAAGUUCACAGAGACUGAUAUUAGGCAUGACAGCACAAUGAAAAUCUGCAACAAGAAAAAGAAAUAUAAAAAUAGAAAACAGUAUGAUACGGUAAAGAGAUAUGCUGCCACAUUCUGUGAUAAUUACUUACCAGAACUUGAGGAGUAUACUUGAAAGAAAAAACAUUUUGGUUUGUCAAAAGACCAUCAAGAAAUGGACCAAUGAUGAACAGAGUCAAUGCUUGAUAGGGACAAGAUUGGUACAAAAGUUGUGUGGAAGACACCUUAAACUUCUUCUGAAUAGUGUUGGUCAUCUGAGAACUGGUUAAGGCUUAUGACAGGAACCAACACCAUGAUUCAACAGUGAAAACUGCAAUAUUGAGUUUUCAUUUUUAAGAUAACCCAAUAAGAAAUCUAGUCAAGGUUAUUACUGAAGGAUACAAUUUGAGCAAUGCAAGUUGUAACAACUGCAAGCAGAGAUAAUACAGAUCCCAGAGCAUUGAGCUGCAGAUCUGUCACAGUCGCAAUUCCAACGCCCAAAAGAAGGAUAGCAAGUGAGAGCUGGAUAUUCCUACUGUAAUAACAAGGAUAAUAUAUUAAUAAAAUAAAUCACAAACAUUUCAUAAAGAUCAAGAUUCAUACAUGAAUCGGACAGCAUAAGUUCUUGCUCUAAAGUUCCUAGCAAGUACAUUGUAAAACUUGACUUCUGAAUGAUCUAGCACAAGUUUUUACACAAACUUAACAUAUGUUUGGCGCAUUUAAAAGCAAGUUUAUCUCAACUGAUCAUUAACUAACACUUAAAAAGUUACUAUUUUGUCAUUCCCAUAACCGCAUAUGUUCUUUCAGGGCUUUCCCUAUAUGUACAACCAAUACUAAUCAGCAUGAAGGUUUAGUGCUGCUUAGAGAAUUGAAUGUGGAUGUAAUCCAUUAGCUUGAAAUAAUAAGAAAGAGUUCAGUUAAUUUAUUAAGUUCAUUUGAACACUAUUUACAAUAUAUUCCUUUGAACUUUGGUGUCAAUAGAUGUGGAAUACAGACCUGAACUUCUUCCUGAGGAAAAGAGUUUCCAGUAAAACAGUGCAAGGAAUGAUUGCCAGCUUUGUCAUCUGGAGUGAAAAAGAUAAAUAAGAAAUCACCAACAAAUCAAAUUAUAAAGGAAAAAAAAAAAGAUUUCAACUUUCAAUUGUAUUAUAACAAAGACAUAACAAGGGCUACAGCAAGAAGCAGCAUAAGAUGGAGAAAAAACAAGGAAGGUAGCUAAGCAUCAACCAAGGGACCAGCAUGAAACUUCUAUAUUUUAAUAAACAUUGAGGACUGGUAAUAUUAAAGCACCAUUUCCCUUGGCCAGCAGUAACUGCACAUGGACAGUUAAGGAAGAUGACUAUAUAUUAAGGCUACAGGGAAUUGUAAAUUAUCAUGCUUCCAUAAUGGCAUCUUCCCAAUUAGGAACAGAAAUAUUGUGCCCAAUAACAUUUGCAAUAUUCAAAUAUCAAGAACAUUAGACGAAGCAAGAUGUAGUCAGGUUAAUAUUGAAUUCAGAUCAGAAUAAAUGGCAUAAAAUGAUGAUUGCAUGAAGCAAGGUUUGCUGUUUCGAUACCGGAUCCCAUAUCAAUACCAUCCUAUUACAAUGUCAACAUGUGGUAUGGUACAAGAUGGCAAGACAUAUCGAGUGUCCAUACAGUACAGGACUGCAUACCAAUUAGAUAAUGGUAUGUCCGGUAUGGUAUGUACUGACUAGUAUAGCAAACCUUGGCAUUGAGUAAUAAUAUUGCAUCCAAAUAUUGGUAUUCAUAUAUCAUCUCAUGCAACAGGCUCUGGUGCACGAUGCAUUCUUUCAAAGCAAUAUUAGUUAAAGUACAUUAUUCAGUCAAGAAAAAAGAAGACAACAUAUACCUGAUAAAAACCGACAGAAUUGAAACCCAAGCUUAAGUUUAAUAGCCCAAUAGAGAUUCCAUUAAGAACUCCAAAGCCCAUUACUAGCCUUGCAUCAAAAGGUUUAUGCUCAAAUAGUUUCAUCAAUAAUGCCACAUGAAGAGAACAGAAUGUGACCAGGAGAUGCCAACUUGUCAGAGUGGUGGCUGCAAGAAGAACAGGGGUAAGCAAAUCAUAAUUUUCAACCAGACCAGCUACAUCUAGUGAUAAAAAAUGUGAGCUUUCCCAUCUGUAGAACCUCCAAUUUAAAAUUAUAUAUAAAGCAGCCAAAUUUAUGUCUCCGAAUUUCCUAAAGGCAAAGAGUAACCAUAAAAGAAUAACCACACAAAGCAGAAAUCCAAGUUGGUCAAACUAUACAUUGCAGACUUCUUGUGGAGUUUCUUUUUCGUUUUUUUCCCUUUUUUGUUUCAUUGAGUGCGACCAUGAGGUAACAAAGCAGGUGAGAUGAGUUUGGUUUUGAAUAUCAAAUCAUAAUUUCCACGAUCAUGUUAAAGCUUGAGAAAUGAAAUACUACAUUCAAGGAAAGGAAAUGUUUCCUUCCAAGGCUUGCAUUACCCUUCAGGAGUAAACAUGUUUAAAUCAUUAAUGCAUGCAAACAGACAUUGAGAUCCUCACAGACUAGGUUAUAUAAUUCAGCGUUCCAAUAAAGUGCCACCCAGUCAACAACACUUGCACUUUCUUCUCAGCAACACUUGCACUUUCUUCUCACACUAAAUUCUCAUGACCUACCCUAGUACUCAACAUAAAAGUAACUAUUAGAAUAUAGCACUAUAAAAUUCUAAAUCUUAUUGGCUUGGGGUUUAGGUUCAGGUUCAUAUGCCACAAUCAAUUUUGCUUUGGUCUACCACAUUGGGGCUGACUACAUUUUUUACUGCUCCUCAAUAAUCCUGAAUUACUAAAGAAUGUUACAUAUCACUGUGAAUCAAGCAACAAAAAAGCUUGUCUUCUAAUAUACAUGUUACUGAGUCUCAUGAGCAACAAAACUAAUAGCCUUUUAGGGCCUCACCGCUUCAACACUAUAAUCCUUUGUGAGAAUAUUGUCAUUUUUUUCUGGCAAAUGUAUGCCUUUAGUAUGUAUCGAUAUCCAUAUUCGCGGACUCAGUACCAGAGCCUGUGCCGGCCGGCCGGCAGUACUAGACUUGGCAAUUACGUCCGACCCAGAUGGGUCCCGACCCGACCCUAAUAGGUCGGAUUGGUCAACAUGUUGAUCGGGUUUUGACCCGACCCAACCCGAAUCUAAUAAAUUUAUAUCUCGGAUUGGGUCGAGGUUGGGUUCGGAUAAUGGCCACCCCGACCCAUUAUCUGAUCCAAACCCGAUCCGAUCUUAUGUAUAUAUAUUAUUUUUCUAUCUUAUUGUUAAAUUGAUGUGCAUCCAGAUCAAUUACAGAAUAGAAAAAUAAGCUUCCAAAUUGAAGCUUUUACGUUUUCAUAUGGCCUUAUGCCUCUUAUGGCUUAGUGAAGGGCCAAAGACUGGUUGUAUGAAAUAUAGGCCUUAUGGCCUUUAGGCUUGGUUAAGGCCUUAAGAACUGAAAAGUGGUAGUGGGCUAUUGUUCAAUGCUUCUGUUUUCAUCUAGAAAAUCUCAUUUAGACGAGGCGGAUAUCCAAUCGGAUAAUCCGAUAUCCAGUCAGGUAGGAUAUGGGUAAAGAAAGUGUUGACCCGUCGGAUCACAGGUCGGGUUUGGGUUAAAAUGAUGAGAUAUCAGAUCGGGCUUGGGUCAAAAUGUUGGGAUAUCGGGUCAAGUCGGGUCGGGUGCAGAUUUGACCCAAACCCACACUCGACCCGACCCAUUGCCAAGCCUAAACGGUAUGGCUCGGUACGGAUCCGUACCGGACCGGUGCGAACCGAUAGGCUAGAGAAGGAAGAUGGAGAAGAAAGAGAGGAAGAAAGAGAUGGGAGGAAUAGGAGAUGAAGAGAGGGAGAGGGAGAGGGAGAGGGAGAGAGGGGGGAGAGGAAGAGGAAGAGAUGCCACCAGAGAGCUCUCCGACGGUCAACAAGGCAGCGUGGAGGGAGCGGAGGGCGGUCGAGGGCCACAAAGGAUGGCUGAUUUUAAAUAGGGGUUCGCUUCUAUUUUGAUUUUUAUUUUUGAUUUUAACAGAUUAAGUUGGCAACAGUGUUGUCACCUUUUUUUUUAAAAAAAAUCCAGAUGAAAUCAGCAAAUGGUUUGCUGACUUCAAAUGAAAUUAAAAAAAAAAAAAAAUUCGUGAAGUCGACACCUGGGCUGCCGACUUCACGCAAUAAAAUAAAAAACAAUCGAAAAUAGGGACGAAUCCCUAUUUCGAAAAUGAAGAAGAGGGCGGAGCUGCAGAGGCCCUCCUCCGACUCGACCGCCCCCAAGCCCAUCAGCGUGGGCUCAUCGGCCAUCGAAGAUCUCGCGGUGGAGGUGCCGUUCAUCCGGAGGCCUCUGACAGCCUCUGAAGGCCCGGUAAGGACAUCCCACACUCUCUUCUUGCCUUCCUCCAUGCGUACCGACCUCGACAAGACGUCGGACCCUUUCUUUCUCUCCCUCUCCUUCUCUCCCCCCUUUUUCUCUUCCUCUCUUUCUUCUCCACCCCUCCGGGAACCGAUUUAGACGCCUGAACCAUCCCGAUUUCCCUGCCGGUCCGGCUCGACAUGAGGUGUACCGGGUGGUUCAGCAUGUUUUUGAAAAUCCUAAUUGAUAUCAAUAUUUGAUAUCUGAUAUCCGUAUCUACAUCUAUAUUUGUAUUGAUAUACGUUUAUCGAUAUCGAUAUCUAUAUCUAUAUGUCGAUAUCUAUAUCAAUAUCCAUAGCUACAUGCAUAUCAAUGUCCAUAUCCAUAUCCAUAUCUAUAAUUCUAUUCUAACUUUAUGCUAUAAUUAUGUGCUUGUUUACCAUGAUGUAGAACUCCCCCUUAUUCUUGUGAUAUGGAAUUUAUGAGUAGAAUAUUAUGUUCUAGCUUCAUGCUUGUUUUCAUUACAUGGAGAACAAAAUUUCAAUUUGUCUUACUACUUGUGCAAGCGUUUGAAGGUAACAUGCAUAUAAGUUCAAAUGUACUUAUCUAUGCAUAUAUAUUUUUAAUAAGAUAUUGAAAAUCUAAGUACCAUGUGGCAGUAUCUUUACUGUUAUCUUAUCUUUCCUUCCAAAACAGACCUAUGGUGUACGGCUUGGCUAAUCUUAUUCCUCACAAGAUAAAUUUUAUGGAUUAAAGAACAAGAUCUGUAAAAUUCUCAACUGUCAUGGGCUAAUAUGUGGUGCAUAUGUAACAAACAACAAUGUUAAGAAUAACCUUGGAUUUCAUGAUUCACAUCUUGUUCCAUGCCCUUUUCAGUUCAAUGAAUAAUUCAGCUUCUUCCCCACAUCUCCUUCUGCAUUUGCAUGCUAGAUCUUUUGCACUUCCUCUUUGCCAUCCUACAUUUCCUUCUUUACACCAUAAUUUUAGUUAGUUAACAAGUAGGAAGGGUGCAACAGAAGUGUGCCAUCCAUCCAUGUAGAAAGCAUGUCAUGUUCAGACAUCCUUCCUUCUCAUUUGAUAUUAUGCAUUGUUGUCUUCGGUUAUCGAAUGAUUAUUAGCAAACCUUUGAAGCCUUUCAACCUUCAGCAUGAUAUGGGAUGUUUCAUCUGUUAUUCAGAAUGUGAAAGCAGCUAUCUCAUCCAUGGGGAAAAUUACAUCAUCCUAAAUUUAUGCAGCUGAUACUUUUUCAACUCCAUAAACUCCAAUUAUAUCUUCCUCUCAUAAAAACAUUUAACCCAAGAACUACCUCUGCUUUAAUUGGUCACUGACCAAUGGCCAGAACAUUUCAACUUGUCAUAUGCUCAGAUCCAUCAAGUUCCUUCAAUUCUAAACCAAAUAAUGAUCCUCACUAGAUCUCAAGCAUUGGAAAGUUCAACAAGCAUUCUCCUAUAGAAUCCAAAAAAAAACUUGUAAACUAAAAUUGACUUUUAGGGAGACAACUAAACCAUCAUGCAACAAACGACCAAAAAAGCCACCAAUUAGUCUCUACAGAUAUCCACAUGCUAUCUGACCAAACGUGCAAGAAACAAUUAAAACCCAAUCAAUACCACCGAAUCACCAAAAACGAUACUAAUCAUGCACCAACUGUAAAAUCUGGCAUUCUUUCAAACAAAGUCCAAGGUCAAACCGAACUGAAAGUCCUCAGAUUUCUCCUACUAACAGCAAAAAUUACAAAACCAAAGUGCAAAUCGUUAGAUCUCUCACCAAAUGUGAAGCCGAGGGUGCUGAUAAGCGCUUUGUUACAGAUCACAAUCGACACCGACGAGACCACCGACAGGCUCAGCGCGCCAACGGUCCCCAACUGGAACCGCUCGCCCUCGCCCAUCUCCACUCCAACAAAUCCCCUCUCAGCUCCAAGAUCUGGCCCUUCCCACCAUCAGAUCAAACUCCCCAAAAUAAAAUAUAAUCCGAAAACAACAAUAAAAUCGAUGACAAUUAACAGCAAAAUUCACCUCCUUCAGCUCAGCCGCCACGCCUCGAAGAGUGAUUCAGCUAAAAUUAACUGAAUAAAAACGUUUCGAAACUUCAGAUCUGAUUACAGAUAGAAAUGGAGAAAGGGAGAGGAGACAGCGAAAAAUUACCCCUUUUCUUCUUCGGAUGGGAGUAUUUGCUUCUAUUUAUAUGGAACUCUCUCUCUCUCUCUCUCUGCUUCUGAAGAAGGCCCUGGCGAAUAGCGGUUCGAACGUCCUGGGAUCCUGGUGCCUUUUUGUCUUUUAAUUUUUUGGGGUUACUAUUUUCUUUUUUUUAAUAAUAAAUGCUUCCUUUUUCUCGCCGGCAACAACGGAGUUUCGAUGAGGUGAGAAAAAUGGAAAUUUUGCUUCAAAAUUAUAAAAAUCGAAAUUUAAAAAUAACAAAAGGAAAUUAGAUAAAGACGUGGCGGAUUUUUUAAGUAAUAUACGAUGUUGUCACUUAACAAAAGAAACCCAUUAACUAACCACUGUCAGUCUUGUGAGGACGAGACGUGGGGCCCGCAUGAUUAGGAGGAGAUCAUCUUGUGGUGUGGUGUUCGUGGAUGGGGAAGGGAAAUUGAGGUCCCGAAAUGAUGCGAGGGAAUGAGCGAGUACUAGCAUUAGGUGCACCCACCGCGGGCAUCAAACGGUUGGUAGGAGGUUGACAAGAAGGCUUGGUGUUUGAUUAAUGGUAUAGUGCGGGUGCUGUCGGUUUACGUUUUAUUUUUUUAAAUUUUCCUGCUAUUGCUGAGCUGGUGGCAUUAUUAUAGUUUAAUUCUCACGCGCCGUAAUUGCCAAUCAGAAAUCGUUGAAUUGAUGGACCCAGAUCCGAAGGUAAUAUCUGAUUUCUUUGGUAAUGUAGCAUGUGGUUUAGUUUGGGCACCGUGUAAACGCUAUGAUUGAGUGUUCAACAGCACGCGGAAUCCAUGAAUCAUUCAUGAUUGAGGGGAAAUUGCUUCCGAAACUUCUAAUUUAACUGCCAUUAUAAGAUUAUAGCUUGAGCAUGUUCUAGAAUUUCAAUGGCAUACGUUUUCCAACUUGCAAACGCUGAUUUAUGAGUUUUUUUAUUUCAUGCAUGUAUAAUGAAGUUUCUAUGAUUUAUACACCUCGUUAGUGUUAGAACAUGGAUUAUAGGAAAAAUUAGAGAACACAAUCUUGAACUUUUCAUUGGAACCGGUAUACAUGGUGCAAGUGGGUCAGCUUAGUCUUGUUUGCUACCUCAUACCGGUCUGAUUAUACUUAACAUCUUCAGGAUAGCUUUAGAAUUUGGGCUUGACAUGUGAAAGCUAAACAUAGGUAGGUCUUGAUUUAUAUCUAAUAUGAGCUUGAUUAGACUUAACACCCUUAAGGUAGCUUUCGAUUUAGAUUUGGGAUUCAAAAGCAAUAGAUAUACUAAUUAUUAAUUAGUCAUUGAUGACAUUGCAUAUCUAAGAAAAAAAGAUUUAAAUGUUUUGGCACUUCUGUAACAAUUUCUAUCACUCAUUAUAAUUUCAGACUAAAAGCUAAGAAAAUUGCGAUGCCGAGAUGAGCUAAUAAAAACCAUAAAUGGAGAUCUAGUGUAUGUAACCACUGGUUCCUCCAUAAUUUUAGUCCUCAUCAUGAGAAAUGCUCGAUGAACCUCCAAUGUUAAACAAAAUGGUUAAAUAGGUUAUUUUGAUGAUAAGAGAGUGGCUGGAGAGUGAGAGGGAGAGGGGAGAGAGAAGAGACAAAUGAGUCCAAAUCCAAAGAGUUAGUGCAGAGAGAUGGAUGAGAGUUCAAAUUUGAAGAGUUAGCAUAGAAACUAAGCUACUCCCUGUCAUCUCCAAUGGAGGAUAUAAGCCUUUUUUUUGUCACCUCUAUAAGUACUCGGAGUAAAGACAUCAUUAGACUAAUUGAAGAGAGCACAUAUCUAGUUCGAUGUUUUUAUCCUCAUUUAAUUUUGAUUGUUAGAGUGGUCGGUGCAUGCUUAGAUAAAAAGAAAACUGAAUAGAGCAUAAAGGAAGAGAAAUAUGAGAUUAAACUGUAAUCCCUCGACUUAUGAUUCACUUUCAGAUUUCUUAGUUCAAAAAUUGAUUGAUUCAGGCAAGCUUAUAAGGAUCCAAACAAAUCAUUGAUUUAAUCAAUGGUUUUGAUGCUUUAUAUAGAGGUAACAUUAUCUUCUCCAUGCAACACUGAUCGGGCAUUCAAUAGAGAUUUUUUUUUUUAAUAAAAAGAGGAAAACUCAUCCAAUAUUUAUCGAGAAAAAAGAUCACAAAAAGAAAAGGAUGCACAAAACGAGAAAAAAAGACCCUUGCUUCCAUACAGCUCCAAUGGGGAUUGCAAAUUUGGCUGAUUGAUGGUUCAACAAGCCAAACCGGACCAGGCUUUUAAACUAUACGGACAUGUUGAUCCGUCAAUUGCCUCAUGGGAAGAGGUUAGACUUAGAAAUCAGAGCCGAUGAGAAAAUGCGAUAAAUGAGCGAAAAUAAAAAAAAAAAGAAAUCAUGAGAAGGCAAACAGAGUUCCGCACGUUUGUCAAACGCUAGGUGAUUAACGGAUCUCAUCCAUCAAUACUUUCCCAAAAGUCGAGAGAAAAUAGAGACCGGAAACCGAGAUUGCGAUCAAACGGAUCACAACCAUCCAAGCUUGUUCCGCAUUGCACAUGCCAGAAGCUAGUCAGAUCGGAUCGAGUCCAAUGCGCUCUGGCCCAAAUUCGCGUGGGGCCCUGGAAAAUGGACUCAGCCCGACGGACGCCAAGCCGUGCAGAAUAUGGGCUGAUUAUUCUUCUCUUCCACUUCCAGCGUCCAGACCGGCCGGGCGAGCAGGGUUCUUUCGAUCAUUUGCUCCAUCAAAAGCUUCUGAUUUUUAGGGUUCUUUCCGAGAAGGAAUCCCUCCAAUUCUUUCCUCUCCAUCGCUGCAAAACGCUCCCAAUAGAUUCGCUCAAAGGUUAGUUCCCUCUCAGAUCCCCCUCCAUCUCUCAUAAUUGCGGCUAAAAGUCUCCAAUGUGGUUCGAUUGCAUCCGGAGUUUUGUUACCGUUUUUGUUUUCUAGGAUUUUCUUCCCUAGAAAGCAGCAUGCUUCUUAUUUCCUCUUCUAAUAUGGUUGGUAUGGUUGGGGUUUAGGGGUUUGAUGGAUAGCAGUUCCCAGGAUCUCUCAAAUGGAGAGAUUGGGGUAGAUUCAAGGAAGGAGCGGUCUCUGGAUCAGUGCGCUUCAUCGGGGACCGCCGGUAGUGGGUAUCGCCUGUUCGAUCGCCAACGGUCGAUUCAUCAGAUAAUUGGAGGCGGCAAAGGUAAUUCAUUACAGAAUUGAAUUUCAUUACAUAUUAGACUAAAAGUUUUUUUUUUUUUUUCCUUUUUUUUUUGGUGGGGAGUGUGGGGCGGGUGGGGAGGGGUUUAUGUUGUUUAUCUAUCUGUUUGUAUCAAUUAUGUGUUCUGAAGUGGGAAGUUAAGUAAAUUAUGCACAACUUAUUUGAUGCUUAUAGUAGCGAGGGUUGAUAAGAAAAAAAGUUGUUCUAUUAUAUUUUUCUACAGAGCCGAAUACACACACACGCACACACAAAAGAUGCCAGAUUUGGUGGGAUUGAGUGAAUCCCAUAAUUAUAGAAGUAUACAAUAUACAAAUGAACAAAAUCAGAAAAUAAGGGAAGAUCUUUCAUGUGGACGGUUGUUGAAUAAGAGAAUAUCUUGUGCCCAAGCUUGAUAGGUUUCCAAUAGGUGGCUGGAAUGGUGGAGAGAAUAUAUCUUGCCUAAAUUGAUAGAUCCAAUGAAAUCUCAUGUCUAAGUUUGGUACGUUAAUAAUACUCCCCCUCAAGUUGGUGCGUGUAGGUCACAAAUGCCCAACUUGCUUUUCAAAAAAUGAAACCAAUCCUUGCCAAGGACUUAGUAAAGGGGUUGGCUAACCACUUAGAAGUAGACACAUAGGAUGUGCGAAUAAGAGCAUUUUGAUUUUUCUUGUGAACAACAUGGCAGCCGAUUUCGAUAUGCUUUGUGUUCAUGGAAAACAGGCUUGGCCGCUAUAUGUAAUGCUGCUUGAUUAUUAUAAAAAAAAAUGGUAGGCAAGGAAGUAUUGCAACCAAGAUCAUAAAGUAGGUAGUUAAGCCAUGUGAUUUCAUAAGUGGCCAUAGCCAUAGCACGAUAUUGUGCUUCAGCUGAUGGUAGUAUUCUGUUUAUGUUUUCCAAGAAAUGGGGUUGGAACCAAGAAAGAUGCAAUAUAGUGAAGGAAGUCUGACUUCUGGAAUACCCAUGCAGAAAUCAUAUUGCAACGGAAACUAAACUGAUCUAGAUUUAAAACUUUUUUAAAUCAAGCAUGCAUACAAAAUAUAAAUCUAAUCUACACAUAGUCAGGAGCGUUCACAUGUUGAAAUUAAGAUUCUGAAAUUUAAAAAUUAGAUUAGAGAUUUUAUCUUGCGCGGGUAGUUUUUCACUGCAAUCCGAUUGUCGUGGUAAUCCGGUGAGGUUUAUGUAGAGUCGCACACGCAUCCGGCCUCUACGGAUAUCCACUCGGGAUCAAUCUGGAUCGCUUCUUCUUGAAUCUGGAUCCUCCUUUGCCAAAAAGAAUCCUGACACCUUGAUCUGAUUUUUUGGAUGUAGAUCAAUGCUUGAUUUUCUCAACAGCACUGCCGACUCUUGAACUUGCUGCCUUCUUCUUCCUCUGACAUAGAUCUCGGACACCCAACUCUUGGAUCCCCAGAUGGUGGAUGCCUAACACUUGGACUUGGAGGCUAUGGCAUGUAGAGCUACGUAGGCAUGUAGAAGAAGGAGAGGGAUGGCAUGGAAAUAGAGGGGCAGGGCUUCGCUACAGGACUCAGGCAACAAUCAUUAAAACUCAUGAGAGGUAAGUCCUAUUUAUAAAGCCCUAAGCCCUAGAGUCCCACCUUAGCUUCCUUAGUUCAAACAUGAACACCCCUUAUCUCGUAAGAGGUUAAGAAGCAGAAGGACUUUUAGGAUCUGAAUCAUAAAAAUUCAGAUCACCAGAAGAGGCGUCCAACACCUUGAUGUGCCACAUAAUUUCCCAUGCCAAUGACUCAUGGGGCGUCCCCUCUUUGGAUCUAAUCCAAGAGGGCAUGUCCCAAUCCUCAUCCUCUAAUCCAAUUGGGCAUGAGCCACUCUGGAUCUCAUCCAAAUAGCCGCCAAAUCCAAUCUCCACUCCCAUAAGGCCAACAUGCCAAGAUAAGGAUGAGGAGGAGCGUUAGCCCCUCAUCCUUAUCCACAUCACACACCACCAAGUGUUUACACGUCAAAAGGUAAGAGUAAAUUCAGAUGUGGCGCUAUAUGAGGAUGAGGCUUUGACUAUUCAGAGCCUUAAAAUAGGACUCCUUUUAAGGUACCAUAAUUCAGAAUUUAAUCAUUGUAACUUUUACAAAUGAUUUAAAUUCAAAUGGUGAUUGACUUUUCCACAUCUUAUCCAUCAGGUGGCGCCAUAUGGGAAAGGCUUUGACUAUUCAAAGCUUUAAAGCAGAAGGACUCCUCCUUUUAGCCACCAUAAAUCAGAUUUAAUUCACUGUAACUCUUACGAUGAAUUUAAAUGGUGUUUGAUUUGGUCAAACCCUAUCCAAUAGAGAGUCCUAGUCCAAGAAGGAUUGGGUGUAACUAUGUGCUAGCAUGGUUCUCCUAAAUCCAAUAGGAUUUGCCAAAUCCCAAUCCAAUUGGGACUUCAUAAGCUCAAUAGACCAAUCCAGGAUCAAAUCCUUUUGUUGUGUGACCCCAUAGGUCCAAUUCUGUCUGAUAGUGGAAUACAUUGUGAUAUCCAUCAACAAUGUCAUUGAAACUCCUUUCAAUGAAUUGGAACUCUUUUCAAUUCAAUCAAUUGAGAAUUAUUUAUUAUCAAAAUAAUUUUUAUUGAUCCCACAAUCCAUCAGUGAUACCUAACAGUAUGUAAUGGAAACCUAACAGAAUGGAAAAUGAAUCUCUAAGUGCAGUUACCGUGUAGUUCGGUUCUUCUAUCGUAAGUCCCGACAAGAUGCAGGUCAAGGAUAACUCGUUAAAUCUGUUCGUCCGUUAUAUGCCAGAUUUAAUCAUCUCGGAUCCAUGUGAAACUUUAUGAAAACUUCUUUCCAUCAUUCAACUUUUGAUCUCUAUCAAGCAUCUGCACUUUCACUCUAGUAUCUUCAUAUUGUAGACUUGAGACAAGUCUAUCUGAGAAGGAAAGCGAUCCGUGCAUCAAUCUAUCCGGAUCAUUCACUAUUUUCAUGAUGAUCCAUCGAUCGAGAGCAUUUAGGAAUCGAUCCCAAAUGACACACGUUUCACUUUUUCAAUUUUUGAGAAUACGUGUCAUUGUCAGGUCAACUCGGAUGAUUCAUGGACAUAAAAAUACACACAACAUGAAUAAAAAAAUAAUCCAAUUUUAUUACUUUCAAAAAUUUAAUUACAAAAUUAUGCCUCAGAAAGUAUACAUGUGUCAGUCAAUCUAGCUUCUAGGACAUACAUCUAACAAUCUCCCACUUGAUCUAAAGUCAAUUGGCCAUAAAUCUAAGUCCCAUUUUCUCAAGGUGAGCUUCAGUUUUCUGUUGGCUUAGCUGUUUGAUCAGUAGGUCAGUUACAUUGUCUGCGAAGUCGACUCUCUACAUCUCAACGAAUUUUUUUUUGAGAUAUUCACGAAUCAAAUAGAAUCGUCGCUCGAUGUGUUUGAACUUUAGGUAAGACUUCGGUUCUUUAGCGAGCGCUAUAGCACCACUGUUGUCGCAGAAGAGUAGAACGGCAUCUGAUGGCAUCACAUCCAGCUCCGCAAUGAACUUUUUGAACUAGAAUCCUUUCUUAGCAGUCUCCGACGGGGCGAUAUACUCUAUCUCUAUGGUGGAAUCUGCAAUAAUCGGAUGCUUGGAAUUUUUUCAGCUAACCGCACCAUCGUUACAUAGGAACACAAAAUUUAAUAUAGACUUUCUAUCAUUAAUGGCACACAUAAAGUCUGAGUUAGUAUAUCUCUGUACUCAUAAGUCUCUUCCAAAGAUCAAGAAUAGAUCCUUGAUUCUUCUCAAGUACUUAAGGAUAUUUUUCAUAGCAAUCCAGUGUUCAUUUCCUGAAUUCAAUUGAUAUCUGCUCGUGACAUUCACAGCAAGAGAAAUAUUAGUUUGAGUACAUAGCAUAGCAUGCAUGAGAAUCUCUAUAGCAGAAGUAUAAGAAAUUUUGCUCAUACACUGAAUCUCCUCAGAUGUGUUAGGACACAUUUUUUUGAAGAGAUGAACUCCAUAUCUGAAGGGCAAUAGAUCUCUCUUGGAGUUUUUCAUAUUGAACUGCUUCAGCACUUUCUCUAUGUACAGCUGUUGUGAAAGAUCAAGCAUCCUUUUAGAUCUAUCUCUAUAAAUCUUUAUUUUCAGAAUAUAGGAUGCUUUUUCAAAGUCUUUCAUGGAGAACUCUUUAGACAGUCAUAACUUAACAGAAGUCAUUAUAGGAAUGUCAUUCUCAAUUCGGAGGAUGUCAUUCACGUACAAUACGAAGAAUGUGACAGCCCUCCCACUGAUCUUCUUGAAAACAUAUGGUUCCUCCUCGUUCUUGAUGAAACCUAACGAUUUGAUCGCGUUAUUAAAAUGAGUAUUCCAACUUCGAGAUGCUUGCUUUAGUCCAUAAAUGGACAUUUGCAGCUUGCAGGCCUUGUAAUCUCUAUCACUGGAUGUGAAAUCUAAAGAAUGCUUUGUAUAGAUAUCUUUCUCAAGAUUUCUAUUCAGGAAGACAGUUUUCACAUCUAUCUGUCAAAUCUCAUAGUCAUGAGCCGCUGCAACAGCAAGCAGUGUUUGAAUGGACUCUAGCAUGGCAACUGGCAAGAAAAUCUUCUGAUAGUCAACGCCUUCGCUGUGACUAUAAACUUUAGCCACAAGCCUAGCUUUAAAGGUCUCUAUCUUUCUAUCCGAAUCGAUCUUUCUCUUAAAUAUCCAUUUGCAUCCAAUAGAAAUUAUUCCUUUUGGUGAAUAUACUAAGGUCCCGACUUGGUUGGUGUGCAUUGAGUCAAUUUCUGAUCUCAUCGCUUCCAACUAUUUCUCGGAGUCGAUAUCUGACAUCGCCUCGUGAUAGGUUUUAGGAUCAUCAACAUGGUGCAUAUCACCUAUAAGGAACGUUUCUUCUAUAUUUGUCAGCAUAUCGAUGUACCUUUCGGGAGGACGUGAGAUCCUAGUGGAUCUAUGAGGUGGAAUGGAUUCUUAAGGUUCUAUGACUCGCUGCUCUUCAGAGACUCUCUUCGAGUUCAAUUUUUCUUCCACUGUCUCCAUCUUGGAUUAUUUUUUUUCAAGAAUAUGGCAUAUCGACUCACAAUCACAUUAUGGUCAUUUGGGAGGUAAAAAUAGUAUCCUAAAAACUCUUUUGGGUACUCUAUGAAAUAAGCUCUCAUAGACCUACUCUUUAACUAGUACGUCUGUUGUCGUUUGACAUGGAUCGAACAUCCUCAAAUUUUGAGGUGACCAAAAUUUGAUUUCUUAUCAUGCUAUAUCUCAUAUGGUGUGGUAGGAACAAACUUAGAGAAAAUCUAAUUAAUUAAGUAAUCGGCUGUUAACAAGGCAUGUCUCCAAAGAAAUAGAGGAAGGUCAGUGAAGCUCAUCAUGGAUCGAAUCAUAUCCAAUAGGAUCCGAUUUCUCCGUUCUGAAAUUUCAUUGAGCUGAGGCAUUCCAGGUGGAGUCUAUUGAGAGACUAUAUCGUUUUCUCUGAGAUAAUCGAAAAAUUUUUCACUCAAAUAUUCUUCUCGAUCUGAUCAAAGUAUCUUAAGUGAUUUUUCAAUUUGCUUUUGUACCUCAGAUCUAAAUUUUUUGAACCUUUCAAAGGCUUCAGACUUGUGUCUCAUAAAAAAUACGUACAAGUAUCGUAUAAAAUCAUCGAUAAAGGUGAUGAAGUAGAGAUAACCUCCUCUGAUCGGCAUAUUAAAUGGACCGCACAUAUCUGUAUGUACCAGAGUAAGUACUUCAGUGGUCCUUUCUCCUUGUCCUAUAAAGGGUAGCUCGAUCAUUUUUUUUGAAGGCAGGACUCAGACUAGAUAUGACUCAUCCAAGAAUGAGUCUAAAAGAUCUUCUUUCACUAGUUUGUUAAUCCUUUCAUUUCCAAUGUGAUCUAACUUAAGAUGCUACAUGUACUUUAGGUUAAUCUCAUCUCUGAAUCUCUUAGACCCAACGACACUCACUAUUUGUUCGAAUAGAUUAACUGAUUCAUCUGCAUCGAUAUGCAACUGAUAAAGAUUAUUAAUUAAGUGACUAUGUCCAAUCAUUUUAUUUUUAAAAUAAAUGGUACAAUGGUCCUUAUUGAAACUGAUUUCAUAGUCAUCCUGUGCUAAGCUUGAAACAAAAAUCAAAUUUCUACUAGCAACAGAUACACAAUAACAAGUCUAAAAGAUUUUCUUUCACUAGUUUGUUAAUCCUUUCAUUUCCAAUAUGACCUAACCUAAGGUGCUACAUGUACUUUAGGUUAAUCUCAUCUCUGAAUCUCUUAGACCCACGACACUCACUAUUUGCUCGAAUAGAUUAACUGAUUCAUCUGCAUCGAUAUGCAAUUGAUAAAGAUUAUUAAUUAAGUGACUAUGUCCAAUCAUUUUAUUUUUAAAAUAAAUGGUACAAUGAUCCUUAUUGAAACUGAUUUCAUAGUCAUCCUGUGCUAAGCUUGAAAUAGAAAUCAAAUUUCUACUAGCAACAGGUACAUAAUAAUAGUCUCUUAAUUCUAGACAAAAAUCAGAUGGUAGUCGAAUAGGAUAGGUCCUUACGGUCACAGCAGCAACUCUUGCUCCGUUGCCUACUUGUAGGGUCAUUUCUCCUAGUCUUAAUCUUCUAGAUUUCUUAAGAUCCUGCAUUGAAGUGCAUAAGUGUACACUAGAACCAGAGUUUAUAAUCCAACUGAUUGUAGAAGAAAUCGAAGGUUAGUCUCAAUCACGAGCAGAUCUGACAUACUUUUUAAAAGUGUCUCUUGAACUCUUCGGGAUUCCUUACGUAAUUUCUUGAUCUAAGAUAACCUAAUUAUUCGAAACUCAAAACACUUUUCAAGUUUCUAAGUCAAUCAUUAAAAUUGGCACCUAACAAUCGGUUGUAUUCAAAGAAGUGGGCAAGUCACUUAGAGGUAGACUAUUUUCCUACAGAGAGAAGAAGAUUUUAGUUAGAUUUUUGUAAUUGAUAAUUAGUUUGUUUUAGGAAUUUUAUUUUAAAAAUAAACUACCUCCCAUUAUUUCUGCGAAUCCCUAUACUCCUUAGGUAGGAAAAUGAGAAUCCCUUCGUGAGUUAAGGUUCCUAGCUGGUACUGCAGUCCCAUCGAUUGGCAUGCUAUCUCACCUGACAGUUAUUGAUAAACGUGUCAACCAAUAAGUGGACAACUCGUCUAAUGCUUUUCAAGCAAAUUGUAGUAGACUUAGUUUCUAGGUCCUGAAACUUCAUCUGACAAUUAUUGAUCUCAUUCUCUAGUUAAGUCAGACCCACCAUUGAGCGUGAGUGAAACCGUCAUUGGGAUCCUCACCUGACAGUUAUUGAGUCCAACCCCAUUUCCACUCCGCAGCAUCUCAUGCCAGUAGAGUGGUUGCUUCUCUCCUGAUGCAACUGAACCACUGUGUUCAGUCGAGAACAGUCAAUAUCGGAGAGGGCACGACACUCUACAAUGGUGGAAGAUGCUCCAACUUAAUAUUAACGAAGAGAUUUUUUAAUUUAAGUCUCUUUAAUCUUAAUUAUUAAUUUACAUCUCAUAUAAAUCUACAAUUACAAUGGAUCUACAGGUGAGAUUCUGGCUUGGUCUGACCAAGAUCGGAUCCAUGGUGCAACGUAAAUGUAGUGGACUCAACCUUAAGCACCACAAAAUCGAAAUUGAUCCCUAAAAUGGCCAGAUAAGAGAAGAUGGGUGGGAGGCUCCCCGCUGUCGGUGGCAACGGUUCUAAUUAAGUAACCACCAUCUAAACACUUGUCUUAGACACCAAAUUGGUCCACCAAUUUGAGAUUGAGUUUGUUUCGAUUCCUCAUUACAAAUUGCAAUCACAAUCAUUGAUUAUGUGUUCAUGAUACAACCUUACACCAAGGGCCGCAGUGAUUCAUUGUGAUCACCGCGUGUAUCAACGAACCACACAAACCUGAUUAUCUUAAUUUCAUAUCUUUAAUUCUCAAUUUCAGAUCUUAAUUAAGUGUAUUAUGAACAUGAGAUUUAGUUUAGAUGUCGAAACUACUUUCAUAUCUAAACAUUUAAUCAUGUAUCUCAUACAUAACCACAUAAAUUUCAGAUUUAUGUUUAUAUCCUAAACAAUUUUGGAUCUAGGAUUUUGCACGUAAAUUCUUUCUUUUCGCAAUUCUUCUUCUUGAUUCAUACAGACAUCCCUUCCACCAUAGUCCUCUAUGGUAGGACGGUCUUUACUAUGAAUCUCAAAGAGUACUAAGCUACUAAGAAUUUAAUCUACAUCUAUAUAUAUCACAUAUGCAUAAACUAACACAGAUUUUAUACAUCUCAUAUAUAAACAAGAUCUAAUACAUUACAUAUAUUUAAAUUAGAUCUAAUCUAAUUACUAAAUCUGAUUUUCAGAUCUAAAGAUCUGAUUUUCAGAUCUUAAUAACAUGCAUGUGAAACUAAUCUGUGGCUCUGAUAUCACUUGAAGGAAGUUCGACUUCCGAGAUACGCAUGCAGAAAUUAUAUUGCAGUGGAAACUAAACUGAUAUAGAUUUAAAAUCUUUUUAAAUCAAGCAUGCAUACAAAAUAUAGAUCUAGUCUACACAUAGUUAGGAGCAUUCACAUACUGAAAUUAAGAUUCUGAAAUUUAAAAGUCAGAUUAGAGAUUUCACCUUGCGCGGGUAGCUUUUCACUGCAAUCUGAUUGCCGUGGUAAUCCGGUGAGGUUUCUGUAGAGCCGCACAUGCGUCCGGUCUCUAUGGGUAUCCACUAGGAACUAAUCUGGAUCACUCGGAUCUAGAUCCUCCUUUGCAAAGAAGAAUCUCGACGCCUUGAUCUGAUUUUUUGGACGUAGAUCAAUGCUUGAUCUUCUCAGCAGCACUACCGACUCUCAAACUUGCUGCCUUCUUCUUCGUCUGACAUAGAUCUUGGACACCCAACUCUUGGAUCCCCAGAUGGUGGAUGCCCAACACUUGGACAUGGAGGCUAUGGCUUGUAGAGCUAUGUAAGCGUGUCGAAGAAGGAGAGGAAUGGCAUGGAAAUAGAGGGGCAGGGCUUCGCUACAGGACUCAGGCAACAACCAUUAAAACUCAUGAGAGGUGAGUCCUAUUUAUAAAGCCCUAAGCCCUAGAGUCCCACCUUAGCUUCCUAAGUUCAAGCAUGAACACCCCUUAUCUCAUAAGAGGUUGAGAAGCAGAAGAACUCUUAGGAUCUGAAUUUUUCUCAUAAAAAUUCAGAUCACCGUAAGAGGCACCCAACACCUUGAUGCGCCACAUAAUUUUCCAUGCCAAUGACUCGUGGGGCAUCCUCUCUUUGGAUCUAAUCCAAGAGGGCGUGUCUCAAUCCUCAUCCUCUAAUCCAAUUGGGCAUGAGCUGCUCUGGAUCUCAUCCAGAUGGCGGUCCAAUCCAAUCUCCAUGCCCAUAAGGCCAACACGCCAAGAUAAGGAUGAGGAGUGUUAAUGCCUCAUCCUUAUCUAUAUCACACGCCACCAAGUGUUUACACGUCAAAAGGGAAGAGUAAAUUCAUUUGUGGAGCUAUAUGAGGACGAGGCUUUGACUAUUCAAAGCCUUAAAAUAGGACUCCUAAGGUACCAUAAUUUAGAAUUAAGUCAUCGUAACUUUUAUGAAUGAUUUAAAUUCAAAUGGUGAUUGACUUUUCCACAUCUUAUCCAUCACCUUAUCCAUUAGGUGGCGCCAUAUGGGAAAGGUUUUGACUAUUCAAAGCCUUAAAGCAGAAGGACUCCUUCUAGCCACCAUAAAUCAGAUUUAAUUCACUGUAACUCUUGUGAUGAAUUUAAACGGCGUUUGACUUGGUUUAACCCUAUCCAAUAGGGAGUCUUAGUCCAAGAAGGAUUAGGUUUAACCAUGUGCUAGUAUGGUUCUCCUAAAUUUCAUAGAAUUUUGUCAAAUCCUAACCCAAUUGGGACUUCAUAAGCCCAAUAGACCAAUCCAGGAUUAAAUCCCUUUGUUGUGCGAUUUUAUAGGUCCAAUUCUGUCUAGUAGUGAGAUACAUUAUGAUCUCCAUCAACAAUAUCAUUGAAACUCCUUUCAAUGAAUUGGAGCUCUUUCUAAUUCAAUUAAUUGAGAAUUAUUUUGGUAAUCAAAAUAAUUCUCAUUAAUCCCACAAUCUAUCAGUAAUACCUAGUAGUAUGUAGUGGCAACCCAGUAAAACUGAAAAUGAACUUCUAGGUGCAGUCACCGUGUAGUUCAGUUCUUCUGUCGUGAGUUCUGACAAGAUGCAGGUCAAAGACAACUCAUCAAAUCCGUUCGUCCAUCAUAUGCCAGAUUCAAUCGACUUGAAUCUAUAUGAAAUCUUAUGGAAAUUCUUUUCCAUCAUUCACCUACCAUGGCCAUAAAUUUUAGGACUCAGUCUCAUGAAUUGCAUAAGACCUCUUCCUGUCUACUAGGGUCGAUAGAUUCCAUCUUGAUGCACAUUCUAUUCCUACAAUGGACCUAAUGUAGGCAACAUACACCGCAAGAUUCCGAAUGGCUAGAUAACCAAGUGACUGUGCAGUCAAACUAUAGCAACUCCACUGUGAACAGCUGAGGCACUGCAGGUCAAAGAACUAUCUGCACAACUAUAACAUCGAGUAAGUCACUGACGAGUAGGCAGCCAUCUAAGUGACUUCUCGUACUGAUCAAACUCAGUACUCUUAAUCUCUAUCAAGCAUCUGCACUCUCACUCUAGUGUCUCCACACUGUAGACUCGAGACUCAUCUAUCUCAGAAAGAAAGCAAUCUGUGCACCAAUCUAUCCGGAUUCACCAUCCCUGUGAUGAUCCAUCAAUCAGGAGCAUAUAGAAAUUGAUCCCAAAUGACACGUACCUCAAAUUCUCAACUCUUGAGAAUACAUAUCACUGUCAGGUCAACUUGGACGAUUCUUGGACACAAAGUUACACAUAACAUGAAUGAAAAAAUAAUUCAAUUUUAUUAAUUUCAAAAAUUAAAUGACAAAAUUAUACCUCAGAAAGUAUACAUAUAUCAGCCAAUCUGACUUCCAGGACAUACAUCUAACAUAUAGGACAACUAGUCAGGUCAGAAUCAUAAUAAGCUAUAAGAUUUAAGUCCCCAGUAGCUGAGAGAAGGAUACCUUGACCAAUAGUGGCCUUUAAAUAGUGUAGUCAUCAAAUAGCAGCAUCCAUAUGAGGCUUAUGUGGUUGGUGCAUAUACUGGCUCAAGAUAUUAAUUGUGUGAACGAUAUCAGGUCUGGUAAUAAUUAGAUAUAUAAGUCUUCCAAUCAGGUGCUUGUAGGUAGAGGAUCAGAAAGGACAUCACCAUCUUGAUUAGUGAGUUUAAGAUUUUGUUCCAUAUGAAAUGAGGUUGGUCGAGCUAUAGCAUAGCCAGCAUCAUCAAGAAUGUCCAGAACAUAUUUUCUUUGACUCAAAUAAAUGCCUUGUGCAGAGGGAGGUACUUCAAUACCCAAAAAAUAUUUCUGGCAACCCAUAAUUUUGAGAUAGAAUUGCUGACUAAUGAAGGAUUUUAAAAGCAAAGAUGGCGGUCUAUUCGUUUCCUGUAAUGACAAUCUCAUCAACAUACACUAAAACAAAUAAUGAGGGACUAUUCUUGUGGGAGUAAAACAGAGAAUAAUCAGCCUUAGAUUGUACAAAGUUGGCAUCAAAAAGGGCUUGAGAAAAUUCGGUAAACCAAUUCCUUGAAGCUUAUUUGAGGCCAUAAAUAGAUUUGUUAAAAUGGCAUACUUGAUUCUCCCCUUGUCUCUGAUAACUGUGUAGUAGUUUCAUGUUUACCUCCUCUGAUAAAUCACCAUGGAGAAAAGCAUUAUUGACAUCAAGUUGGUAAAGGUGCUAAUUUUUAAUAGCUGCAACAGCUAGUAAGACUCGAGCGGUAUCAAGUUUUGCGAUCGGGGCAAAGGUUUUAUGGUGAUCAAUUCCUUCUAUUUGCGUAUAACCAUUGGUAACAAGAUGCACAUCGUAUCUUUCAAUAGAACUAUCAGGCCUUUGUUUGAUUUUAUAGACCCAUUUGCAACCAAUGGGUUGCUUUUCAUGUAGGAGAGAGAUGAGGGUUCAUGUAUUAUUGUCCUCAAGGGCCUUAAGCUCAACUUGCAUAGCCUCAUGUUAUUCUGGUAUUUUUACUGCUACGGCAAAAGAUGUAAGUUCCUCAACAGACAACAUGGAAGUGAGAAAAGAUUUAUGAGAGGAAUUAAACUUAUCAUAGGACAAAUACUUUUGUAGAGAAUAAUGAGAUACCUGGAGACCUUCGCAAGGAAGGAGGAUUGGAAUGGGCAUGAGAACAAUUAUAGUCUUGUAAAUGAGUUGGUGAUCAAUGAGGAUGUGAAGAAUGUUGUGUUGGUGCGGAAGGAACAUUAACUUGUGUUGGUGGAGAAGGUGCCAAAGAGGAAGAAUUUGAGUCUAAUGGAGGAGUGGAAGGUUGUGGAGGAGAUGGUGGAUAAAAUAAUGAGAUCAUGUAUUGGAAAUGGGAUGGUGGUGUGAUUGGGAUGAUGGAGUAGGUCUUGGUUAUGAAAUGGAAAAUAUUGUUCAAAAAAUGUAACAUCACAGUUCAGAAGCAAGAUCAAAGAUUUUCUAAUCAUUCUGUUCAUAAGGUUAUCCAAGAAAAAUUCCAAGUUUGACACAAUAAUCAAAUUUAUAUCAUAUGGCAUUAUGACCAUAGCAAAGAAAACGAAACACAUGCAAAUGUUUAUAUGUUGGUUUCUUAUGGAAAAGAAGCUCAGAUGGUGUUUUUCCAUUUAAAACUUUAGUAGGUAAUCUAUUAAUUCAAUAGACAGCAUGAAGCACAUGAUCAGUCCAAAAUUCUAAAGGCAAAUUUGCUCGAAAAUAUAAAGAAUGAGCAAUGUUAAGGAGAUGUUGAUGUUUUCCUUCCACCACAUCAUUUUGUUGUGGUGUGCCCGAAUAACUAUGUUCAUGAAUUACUUCUUGUUGGUUCAAAAAAAAAUAUGAAAAUCCUAAGUGAAAAAUCCUUGGGUAUUAUCACUCCUAACUCGCUUAAUUUUGACUUGAAUUAGGCAUUUCACUGUUGCAAAAAAAUUAUGUAAAUAUAUGGUCGAUUCAGAUUUAGUAUUCAUAAGAAAUACCCAAGUUGCACGUGAGUAGCAAUCGACCAUGGUAUGAAAAUAUUGUGCACCACAGAGAAGGAAUCUGAUAUGGUCCCCAAACAUCAAAAUGUAUUAAACUAAAAAACUUGUAGAGGAAAUAGUACUUUAAAUAUAAGGCAAAUGACAAUAUUUUGACAAAAGGCAUAUUGUGCAAGGGCACUUUUACAAAAUAAGAUUUGAGAAUCGAAAAAUCAGUUAAUUGAGAAGAAAUAGAUUAUGGGGGAUGACCUAAACACCAAUGCCUAAUAUCAAAGGAAGGCUGUUGCGCAUGAGAAACUGCAAUAGUAGGAGAAGGUUACGGUACCAAGUAAUGGAGACCACCAAUCAUCCUCCUUGUAUGUAGGUCUUGUAUAACACCAUGGUCAGGAAAAAAAUAAUGCAGCAUUGAAGAAGCUUUGGUGAGCUUACUAACCGAUAUCAAAUUAAAUUGGAAGGAAAGGACCAAAAAAAACAUCAUCUAAUUUUAUAUUUGGAGUUGGUGUUGAUGUGCCAAUAUCACAGAUGAUGGCUAUUUGACCUAUAGGUAAUUUAUGGUUGAUGAGGAUACGGGUGUUUUGAAGUCAAGUUGGGUGGACAAGGAACCCAUGUGGUCUAUGGCACCGAAGUCCAUGACCCAUAACUCGGCUAAAGUAGAAAGUGAGGAACAUAAGUAUUGAGGCAAAUCUGUAGCAUUUGCUAAAGGGGUGGAGUUACCAGCUUGGAUGAGGGCAACAACUGUUGAUAUUGCUUUGUCAUGAAGGUCGGAGCAAUGUUAGUUGGAUCUAAGGAAGUCAUGGUACCAGUUGUAGGUUGUCAGCUUGGUUUGUGUUCUUUUUGGGAAGGAUGCCUCUUCUUUAUUCGACACCAAGAUUCGCUGACUGUCUUUACCAUGAUGGUCACAAUGGUAUGAUGGUUUUUGGCCAUGUUUGAAGAUUGGUAGGUGUGAGUGGCAGCCAUGGCUAAUUGCUCUAUAUGCUUGCCGAUGCAGCAUUGUGGAUGGAACGUUGACGUUCUUCUUGUAAAAAGAGUGCAUAGGUUUUGUUUAAUUGAAAGGAGAGGAUCUACUAAGAGAAUUUGAUUGCACAUGAUACGGUAAGUGUUGUUCAAAUGCAUCAACUCGAUGAGCUGAUCUCUAUGAAGGAGAUCAGUGUAUGUGUUGAAGGCUCCUCAUGUACAGGUAGUGUGGGAAUCAUAAGAGGAUAACUCAUCCCAGUAACCUUUCAAGAUUGUGUAAUAGGUAGCAAGGGAGCAUGUACUUUUUGUGUGAUUAGCAAUAGCAUGUUUGAUCUCAAAAAUACGUGGCACAUCUUUUGGAGAAAAACGGUCCGACGAUCAAUAUGUGCCUCUCAUGCAUUGGCUAUGUAGAUGAUGCAGUUAGCAAUCUCUAGAGAGACUGCAUUAAUAAUCUAGGAGAGAACCAUACUAUUAAAAUGGCUCCAUUGGAGAUAAUCUGAAGAUCCUUUGGAAGGUUAAGUCACACUCCCAUCAAUAAAACCAAGUUGUUCUUGGCUUCAAGUACCAUACAAAUGGCACGGCUCUAGGUGGAACAGUUUUCUCCAUUGAGGGUUUGGGAAACCAAAUUGCAUCAUGAUUGCUAGAGUGGUGCAAGAAAAGCAGUGAGAAGACAUCAUAAUCAGAAGAAAUUUCGAUGGUUUUAGGGAUUGUAACCCCUAUGGUAGGAUUUGUGCUUUAUCUUUCCAUGACCACAAUAGGAUAGGAUUAAGAAGAAAAUGAGGAAAGCAGGAUCAUAUACUGCUCCGAUACCAUGAUAAGGAAAAGAAGUUUUCUAUUAUAUUUUUCAAAAGAGCUGAAUACAUACCACCGAAAUUUGGUGGGAUUGACUCAACCCCAUAAUUAUAGAGGUAUACAAUAUACAAAUCAACAAAAUUAGAAACAUAAGAGAUCUUGCAUGUUUGGAAGGUUGUUGAAUAAGAGAAUAUCUUGUGCCCAAGCUUGGUAGGUUUCCUAUAGAUGGCUGGAAUGGUGGAGAGAAGAUUUCGUGCCUGAGUUUGGUAGGUUUCCAGUGAAAUCUCAUGCCUAAGUUUGGUAGGUUGGUAAUAAGGGUGUUGAAGCUAAUCGUUCUAUUUGAUGGCUGAAAUGAUGCUUUCUUGCUUCUUAGAAAACAUUCUCGCCAAUGGGAAUGGAUGAAUCUCUUGGGACUCGUUUGGUUCAUGAGAAGAAUUUUUCUUCUCUGGAAUAUUAUUCCUAGAAAGUUGAUUCAUGAGAAUAUGAUGUCUGAAAAAGUGCUUUUGGUAUAUUGGUUGACCAUUGAAAAGUAGCUUAUUCUAGAGUGGCUUAUGUUUGGUUAAGCAUGCAUUUUUUUAGAAAAAUUAUGUGUAAUACCUAUUAUACCUUUAAUAAAAGAAAAAAAUGUUAUCCUAUUCUAUACAUUACCAUUGUUUGCAAAUAAAAAAUUAUGAUGGUUAAGGAUAUUUUUGCCAUAGAUCGUGAUGGAGGAGGGUUUGAGGCAUUGUGAUGAAGAGAAUAUUCAUUUCAAUUGUAGAUCUUUUGAUAGUUUAAAAUGGUAUUUAAAAAAAAAAAUAGUCUCCAAUUCCCAUCCCUCGGGAAAAACUCAUGUUCUACAUAAGUUUUUCUUUCCCAUGAAACAUGAAAAUUGUAUUUCUAUGGAAACAUCUUUUUCCAAUCUCUCUCAUUUGAAAACUUCAACUAAAGAAGAGAUAUUUUUUUUUUUUCAUUUUUCGUUGACCACACUUCCCGCUUUCACUUCCCACGAACCAAAUGAGUCCUUAGGAUUAUUAGAUUAUGGGAUUCCAGAUUUAAUUCAUUAUGUUUAUUGAAAGAAUGGAUAGAAGGGUUGUAUGUGUAAAGUGUGGACUUAGUUAAUCCAUGAUUUGUGAUGCUGUUGACACUUUGAUUUUUUUGGUUUUGGAUAGACCUAUAAGGGCCCAUAUAUAGGCGUCGGCUAUGCAAUAGGUAGAUCUUGAGUACUUAUACCAGGCUAAGAAACCUAAUUAACACUUUUUGACGAGUCUUUUUGGAUGAAAUCUUGGAUUAUUACAAAUGAUAUUAGAGUGAAUUUAGCCCAUGGCCUAUUUGGACUAGGGGAUUGCAAUGCCGGUUUAUUAGGUUGAUCAUGGGUUGAUUAUGGAGUUUGUAAUCGGAUUUUGUGAUUGGAUUUAUGGUACUUGUGAUUGGAUUUGAAUGGAUUUGGAUCUUUAAUGAGAAUGCUAGGACUUAAAUAAAAGAAAUGUGUGAGGACUCCAAGGCUAAAAGAAAUGUGUGAGGACUUAAAUAAAAGAUUUAUGGGCGUAAAUCUUGGAUACUUAUACAAGGCCAAGGAAUCCAAAAAACACCUUCUGGCUAGCUUUUCUAGGUAACAUCUUGGGUUAUUAUAGAUAUUGUUGCUGUCAAAAUCCGGCCUAAUGAUGGUGAAUCUCAUUGAAGAUCUAGAGACAUGGAGGGUGUUGUUCGAUCCACAAUGGUGGAAGAUAAAGCACCAAUUUAACUUGGAGAGUCGUGGAUCUGCACACAAAAAGAAGAGAACAUCGUUGGAUUGGCUCCGACCGAGCCUUCUGAUGUCUAAGUCAGAAGAGGCUUUGGAAUGACAGCAGUAAAGGAAAAAAUAUAAGAGAAGAUUAAAGUAGAAUAUUGUCCUAUUUUGGUUGGCUUGAUUUUGAUCUAUUUUUACCUCAACCUUCUCAGGUUGAUUGUUUCACCUUGGCCUUCUCAGAUUUGUCUUAAGAGUUUGGCCUUUGGGAGCUCGACCUUAGGAGUUCGGCCUCAGGCAUCACCUCGGUCUUAGCCUUCACUUUAGCCUUGGACUUGGUAGCUCGGCUUCGGGCAUCUCUUUGGUCUCGACCUCAGGCAUCACCUUGGUUAGCCUCAGGCUUGGUAGCUAGGCCUCGGGCCUCACCUUGGUCUUGACCUCAAGCUUGGUAGCUCGGCCUCAGGCAUCACCUCAAUCUCGGCAACUUAUGGACUUGCUGACCUGCAAGAAAAGAACAGAAUGAUGGAUGGAGACUUGAGAGCCUCUCACAAUGAGAUCUUUGAGCUAUAGGAGUCUUUCCUUUUAGAGCCCGUCUCUUUGGGAUCCCUUUGGCCUUUAUAUAGGCAUGGGAGCAUAGAUCUGUUAUGAUUUAGAGGUGGAAAUCAAGAGAUUGCCGUUAUCUCCUUCUUUAUCUAGAUCCAAUUCUAAUAUGACAUAACGUCCUUUCCUAUCUAGAUCCCCGCCGUCCAUUUGAAAUUCGAAUCCAUUUGAAAUUGAUUGCCACGCGUCCAUCCUCAAUAGGUAGUUUGGUUUCAUGCCAUGCGAGGUACCAUCCUUCAUUGGGUUGUAGGCAUCUUUCUGUUUAAACUUAGAUUGAAGAAUGCCCUCCCAAAGUUUUCUAGAGUUAUGAAGUUGAAAGACUAGUUUCUUAGGCAUGAGAGAUUGAAUAAAAAAAAAUUAAAAUCAGGAGGUGAAGCCAUCUAUUUGAAAUACCUGUCAUGCUUUAUCAGUUUAUCUAUCUUUAAUAUGCAGAACAGAAUUGAAACCUGUUCUACUACAGUCAUUUCUUCAUUUUCUUUUUUUGUUCCUCCUUUUUCUUGCCUUCUUUUUUUGCUUUGUGUAUUUGGAGUUUGUCAGGUUCUCUCCUUGUACCAUGGUGACUAAAAAAUGUGGAUUAACCAUCUAAUGUACUGCCUACUUCUGGAUUGCUUACCUUUCUUUUUGUCAUAAUAACAUUGUGCUGUUUUCAAGAGUUUGCAUCAAUUGUAGUCAAUGUUUUGGAGCCAAAACUUGUUCAGGAUUUUCAAAUCUAUAAUGCUCAUUUAAAUAACAAAUCCUCUAGCCACUUUUGUGGAAAUUUCUAAUAUUAGCUUAACUUUACUAAAUCAUCAAAUUAGAUGAAAUAGCAUUUGGUAGUUUCUUUGUCGAUUAAGUAUUUAACAAAUAGUUGUUGGAUUAACUAUCAUUUGCAGGAUAGUUAGUGUUUGCUUUCUGGAAGUCAUGGCACACAAGUCUGUCCCCAUCGUUGUAAUAUUGGCUUUUUUUUUGCCAACAUUAGCAGAUAUGCCAAUUUCAGAAUUUAGUGGGAAGUUAUUACACUAUACUUGUACUGUAAUAAUGGUCUCUUGAACUCCAAUUUAUUUUCCAGCUUUACUUGCUAAUUCCUCUCCUACAUAGAGCCUAUGUGCCCUAGAACUUGGCACCAAUAAGAUGGGUGGCAUCAAGGUUGGUUGUAUCGCCCAGUUCGGGGUGUAUCAAUGCGAAAUGGUGGGGAACUAGGAUGGUUUGCCCUAUUGGCUCGGUAAACAGGCCGAAACCUCACCAAAAGCCCCCAUCUUGAUCCGAGAGAAGCCCAAGCUGGUUUGCGCGAUCAGAUAGGCCCCAUGGGUUCCUUGAAACCCUUCGAAACUCCUCCUCUAGCCCCCCCCCCUUCCUCCUCCCCCCUCUCCCCCCCCCCCCUUCUCCCUCUCAUCCAUGCAGACCCCUCAAAAAAAAUCCUUGCCUCUCUCCUGCCGAUACCCUCGUCCUUUCAGUCUUUCUCCCCCUCUCCAUCCUUCCUUGGCUACGGCCUUUGGACUUGAGAGAUCGACUAGGAUCGGUCCGCACAUCUAGGUGAGUUCCCCCUCCCUCCUUCACCUCUCCCCUUCUUUGUCUCUAGCCCUCUCCUUUCUCCCUUCCAGUGGUUCCCAGUAUGCCACGGUUUGGUACAUUAUGGACUGGUAUCAUACUGUAAUUGAUUGCUAGCUGACAUGUCUGUUGGUACUAGUUCUAUCCUCUUUUGGUGGCAUCAACUUUAAAGACAGUGGUGAAACAUUCUCAAAUUUGAGAGACUAAAUUGGUAUGAUGUAGAUGGUUCCAGAUUUAAUAAGCUUCUCUACUGAAUCAGAUUAUUGUAUUGCAGUGGAUGCUGAUAGCUGAUAAGUCAUGCUUUCGAGCCAUUUGAAACAUAUUUAUUAUAGUUAGCUCUUUGUUUGUCACUUUGGGUACAAGGAGAAGACAGAUCAACCAAGCCAGCGUAGAUAAUUGUACCAAAAGGAUGAAGGUUAGAUGGAGGAGCUUUGUUUUUGUAUUUCUUGUGGAGCUAUGGAAUUGCUUUAAUUUGCAAAAAAAUCCCUCAUCACAACCACCACUAGAGUUUUGCCUCAUAAAGUGAAGAGGGGGCUAACGUUGGGAACACUGAUGGACCACAGCAUUCUCUAACACCAUAACUCUUCUGUGACUAUUUGCAGUCAGUGCCACUUUCGCUGAUGUGAGUUGACCACCUCUAAUGAAUGUUACAUCCUCUGGCAUAUGCACUGGAAUGUUCUGACAUGUACAAUGGCUAUGAUUUGCAUGCAAACGUUGUUCCUGGAAGUUAGAACCUGGUGCAUGCUUCCAUUGACUGCAGCACCGAUUUUCUUGAUUGAACUAGCCAAAUGACCAAUUUGAAGACAUUUGGUUUGCCUUUUUGGAUGCCCCAUCACCAACAUAUUUUGUCGGUUAUUAGUUAAAAUUGACGCUAUUAUUGUGUUUCUUGAGGAUAUAAGAGUGUUGCUACCUGAUGGAGGUCAUGAACUUACAGACAGUCAAAUAGAAUAUGAGUGCAAAGCUUGAUACUUGAACUGCAUUGAUAAGGCUUGUAGUUAGACAUGUUAAUCUAUGAACAUUUAGUGUGAUACCGUACAUUUCUCAAAACAGGAUGACAUGAUGCAUCUCAGGUUCCUUUUGAACUGUUUGUGAUUUCUUAUUAGUAAUUAUCCUGCAAGAGGAAUUAUGAGCUUUUUAAUGCAAACAAUUUUGGAAGGCAUGAAAUUAGUGUGGAUAGACUGACUCGAAUUCCCUAUAUGGCGUGGUUUGAAGGGCUAAACUUUCUUAUGAAUUCAAUACAGGUGAGGGGUUGGUUUCUAGCUUCAGUAUCAAAUACAGUAGAUCUGUUUGGUCCUAUCUUUCUGGUAUAAUAAUCUUUUAAAUCAUAUUCUAUUUUAGCUUAAAAAUGUCCCUAUGGUGUCUUACAAGGAUUUGACUUGAGUUUUGUAAUAAUUUUAUAAACUUGUGUGGAUUUUAAAUUAUUAAUUUAUUUUGUUACCAAUUUGUUCCUUAUGGCAUAACCUCUGAUUGUUCCUUUUUUUAGCUGCCGAUGUCAUAUUGUGGAAACGCCGAUGGAUUUCAGUCGGAGUUAUUGGUGUUGCUACUGUAGCAUGGCUUUUAUUUGAGAGAUCUGGACUGUCAUUCCUGACAAUUUGCUCAGACAUACUGCUUAUUUUGAUUGUAAUUCGGUUUAUUCAGGCUAAUAGUGCUGUUCUUCUAAAUAAGUAAGCUGAUUAAUCCUUCUAUAUUUUUUUUAGCCCGCCAUCUGAUCAAUCAUGCUGCCUUCAUGAUUUUUUUAAAUAUUUCUCUUUUAUAGAGCUAAAAUUUUUGAGAUUCUUCAUAAUGAAUAUUUAUGAGCAGACAACUUCAGCCAUUGCCAGAACUGGUUCUAUCAGAAGAAAUGGUUAAUAAUGCUGCUGCUUCAUUUCGAGUUAAAGUGAACAAUAUGCUGAUGAUGGCGCAUGAUAUUACUCUUGGCAAAGACUUCAGGCUUUUUUUUCAGGUCAGUGCUGUUCUGAUCAACCAUAUGAUAUUUGGAGUCUAUAUGUUCUCUUGGCCAUCAAUCUUCAAGUCUUAGCAAAACAUUCUAUUUUUGACAGGUGGUGGUCUUCCUUUGGCUUUUGUCUGUUGUUGGUAGUUUCUUCUCAUUCUUCACUCUUGCAUAUAUAGGUAUGCUCCUCUUUUACCUUGCCAGUUGCAUUGCUAUAUCACAUGCUAUAGUCAUCAUUCAGUGUUAAGUUUAACACAUCAGUCACCAAACAAACAUCCAACCUCCGCCCCCAUCCCCUCCUGCAUGUGUCUGCAUGUAUAUGCAUGCUCAUUUGUUGAAGAUUUAUUCACCACAUGCUGCAAAACUAAACUAGACAUUUUUUAAAAACUUUUUCUUGGGUUGUGCACAUUGCAAGUUUCUUACUUUUUGGUAGGUAAUUGUUUCUUUAAUGUAUUCUAAUCAAGCACAACAUCUCUAUCUAUAUGACAACAAAGUUGUGCAUCUCAUUCAUUUGAUCACUACCAAAUGGAAGUCUACAUUAGUUUCCUGCUUAUGUGGAUUGGUGAAACUUUAAGGUCAUGGAAUCAGACUAAGCACAAAAACCUUGAUUAAUGCGUUUAUGGAUGUUUGCUGAUUAUGUAGGUAGGUUUUAGUGCACUCUUUAGUGAUCAAUCAAUAUGCUAGUGGUAGUUGAUGGUUGAGCAUUUGGGUUUCUCAAGAAUUUGAACAUACAGCUGACCAACCUUAGUUCAGCUGGUUGGCAUCCCUCUCCACUUGGGAGAGGUCCAGGGUUCAAAACUCAUGUGGUGGCACUGGCAUCCCCAACGUAUUUCUCUGAAGUGGGGGUGGGGGGGUGGGGUGGGGCGUGGAGCGGGAGGGGGAAUAGAACUUACAGGACUCCUUAUAAAAGCUACCAUUUGAUUUGGUUUAGAAUGCUAUGUGCGCUACAGCACUGGCUCAUAAAGGAGGAUCCUUUGUGUGAUGUAUAUUUUCAUGCAUAAAUAAAUUUGAACUGGCUUAAGACAUAAGCCCCACAUUACCCUUUCUCGCUUUCAUGCACCGAUUAUUUCAGAUGUUCUUGAAAUUCUGUAUUCAAUUCUGAAUUGCUUUACCCAUGUUUGUGCUGAUAUGAAAUUUGCGUGGAUGACAGGGACCAUUGUGUCAAUCACAAUACCUGCGUUGUACAAUAAAUAUGAAGCGCAUGUGAAUAGGUAUGCUGGGUUGGUCCACCAGAAGUUUACCAAGCAUUAUAGGGUGGUGGAUGAAAAUGUGAUACGAAGACUACCAAGACACUUUUCCAAGAAUAAAGAUGCAUAAACUCACUGAAAGGGAAGAUUGUUUUUCAGUGCAGAAUUCAUUGCUCAACUAUUGAGCUAAGUUGUUUGAGGUUGCUGUGUAUUAUGCUAUGUAAAUUAUGUUAAAUUGCAGAGAGUGAGGCUGCAAGUUUUGUUCGAAGGCAUCCUAAAAUUUGCUGACAUUUUCAUAACCAAUCAAAUUCUCUGGGAUUGAAAAAUAAUUGUCAGAAGAGGAAAAAUGUCACACAAAUGCAUUUGAAAGUGAAAGAGAUGAUAGAUGAAUUCUUUGUGGAACCCUUUGGAUCAGCACUUAUUGUUUUUUACGCCAAUAUUGAGAGACACAGUAUGCUUAUGCCUUGAUUUAAAGGGUGAAAGGGCAAAAGAAAAAAAAUGUGCCCUUGAAUCUUCUGAAUAUUGCAUGCUUCCAAUUUAUGAAAACAUUCAAUUCCCCGUCUCGAACGUAUCAGAAUGCUUCACCUAUAAAGUUUCUGGAUAUACAGAAAGAAAUGCCGCCAUUCAAUUUGAAGCUUGGAGAGGAUCCAAAUCUUGUGGAAGCCAAUUACUAGGAAAAUAUUCAGUACACCCUCCACACUAAAUAUUCAGUACACCCUCCACACUCAAGCCGGAUGAUCUUUUAUCGAUAUGCUUUCCCAUUUUGGAUGGAGGUCGAUGUUAAGCAUCCCCUAGCUAUAUAAAACAAAAUUAAGAAAAAGUAGUGCUCAGCCAACAAAUACGCUUCCAAAUGUGUCCACCUCUCGUAUGUCUAAAUUUUCCUCGCUGACCAGAAACACAAGUUUACGAAUCCUAGUACAAGAAUCUUGCAAUAUUUCCAAGAUGCAUAAAGAAUCUUGUAUUUUGCAUGAAGCAUACUGCAUCCUGCUGCUAGAUCUAUUCUUUAGCGCUCCAUCUGGUCCUGUUUGGAAAACAUCCCAACAAAUCGACUGCAAAAUAAUGAUGGCAUCCUUGAAGGUCAAUUAAACAACCAAAUACAUUAAACAACCAAAUACCUGAGUUACUAGGUUAAUGACAAAAUCCUUUAACCUCUCGGCCUUAUACACAACUAUUGGUAUGUUUUGCUCGGUAAUCCAAGACUCAAGCAUCUAAGCGGAGGCUUUCUCAGAGCAAGGAUCUACAAAAUGCAACUGUUACAGGACUUUUCCAUGCCCGGGAGCUUUUAUUUUUAAUGGGUCCAGGAUUGAGUUUCCUGUUUAGUUAAAGAGAAAGAUAACAGUCAUCCAGAAGAACAGAGAAAACAGAACAUAUUGUUACUCAUGGUUUAACCUCAAGUUUACUGUUGCCUUGGAUCUCCUGUCUUCAAGUUUUACCAGUAGGAGUAACAAGAAGAAGUGGUUCUUGCACACAAACUCCUAAAGUAGCUCACGAGCACUCUCGAGCCAAACCUUGUAAAGAUCAUCUGAAAAUAAAACAAAAUGCACCUGCAGCAAAAUGAUGCCAGUUAUGUUCCCAUUCAAUCAACUGCAUUUAUGUAUUUAAUAUCAAUUAUUAGGACUAACAAGCGGUAUCAUUUCAAUGCACCUUAUUUGAAGUCGUUGAGAUCAAUAACAAUCAACCCCUUUCCAUCAAAAUCAGGUCAGGAAUGGAAAAAAAACAAAAACUCAGUCAAGAGAAGGGGCGAAAAACAAAAAAGGAUGAGAGUUUUACAACCAGCAGCAAGCUUUACUCCAACAUUCUCAAGAUCUGUCAACUUUGACAUAAUUGCUGGUCAUGUCAGGUGACAAGAAUAUGUCACCUAAAAACACUUGGAGGAAAAAAGAAGGCAUCAGUUCCUCACCCAAAAGAAUUGUAUGGUAGAUCACCCACACAAGUAUCAGCAAGCUGGUCUCCCAAACUAGCUUCAUUCAUGAGGAGCUAGCAGGCAAGAAGUUUAUCUUUAUCAAACAGUAGGAAUAUUAAUAGAAAUAUGGUAUCUAAAAUCAACUAUUUAUUACUGAUGAUACUCAAUAGUUCAAGCUCCCUAGCCUACUAUGCUUCUUGUAGUCACCUCUUAAUGUUAUAUGUUAAUUUGGAGUCUACGGAGUUCAAAGCAGCCCUCUGUCCUCGAGAAAUUUAAAACAUUUUUUCAUUAAAUUUNNNNNNNNNNNNNNNNNNNNNNNNNNNNNNNNNNNNNNNNNNNNNNNNNNNNNNNNNNNNNNNNNNNNNNNNNNNNNNNNNNNNNNNNNNNNNNNNNNNNNNNNNNNNNNNNNNNNNNNNNNNNNNNNNNNNNNNNNNNNNNNNNNNNNNNNNNNNNNNNNNNNNNNNNNNNNNNNNNNNNNNNNNNNNNNNNNNNNNNNNNNNNNNNNNNNNNNNNNNNNNNNNNNNNNNNNNNNNNNNNNNNNNNNNNNNNNNNNNNNNNNNNNNNNNNNNNNUAAGAUCAAGAACUUGAGCUUAGUUGAUAUUCUGGUGCAUAAACCUGAAUAAGAUUUCUUGUGCUGCUUAAUCCACAGAGGAAGAGUGGAGAUAUCAGUAAAGGGGGAUCUAAAUCUAACAAUCACUAGGCCAGAAUGAGAAAGGUCAUCAUCAGAUCAUUGAGAACUAUGAGGGGUUUUCAAGAUUUUCUUUGCUCUGCUUCUUGGACAAUAAAGAGUAGAUCAUCAAUGGAGGAAAUAUAACCCUUUCUGCUCUAAAACCUUAGAAGCAAGGUUCAUCGUUUCGGUACCGGAUCCCAAACCAGUAAAAUUCUGCUAUAAUGUUGGUACAUGGUUCGGUACGGUACAGUAGUGUCGGUAUGCUCCGAGACGACGUACUGGUACAGUAUGGUACACUCCAUAUCGGGCGGUAUGGGGUGGUACAACAUUCCAUGCUUAGAAGUGUCUCAAGGUAUCUCAUGGUCAAGUUUACUAUAAUGGAAAGUGGGUUGGAACAUCAACUCUUUUGAGCAACAUGAUCAUUUCCACAUCUUCUAGAAGUAUUAUGCAGAAGAGCAAUGUCCUGACCAUACUCUCUACAAUCACAACUUCUAAAAUCCUUCUUCAUUUCUACUAAGGUUUUACUUUUCCCAUUUCAUAUUCUUCAACCCAAAUUAAAGCAUCCAAUUUGUUUUGCUUAAGCUCUUCACAAUUGAUCAAAUCCAGUUAAUAAUUGAUAACUUUGUCCCCCAUUCCUGAAUUCCUAUAUAUAAAGGCCGUCCAACCAUGUUAGAAAGGUGUCUAUUCAUGUUUAAUAUAGCUAAUAAUCAUAAGAAAAAAAAGAUCUAAUAAUUCCAGCAUUUGCAGUUCUAUUUUGGCUAUUGUAGCAUGUCAGAAAGGUGUUUAUUCAUGUUUAGUAUAGCCAAUAAUUUUAAGAAAAAACGAUCUAAUAGUUCAAAUAUUUGCAGCUCUAUUUUAGCCAUUGUAGCCAUGCCCGGUCAACCAUGAUCAAAGUGUGUAAUGGUGACUUAUAUGAUCAGAACUCAAAGUGAUGGACAAGCCCAUUGAGAUUAGUGUUAUCUUUGUCCAUUCGAUCGGUUAUCACAAAACCAUAAUUUUAUGCUGCCAUAUAGGAUUAAAAAAAGGGAACAAAAUAACAAGCAACUCAUACAUGUGGAACCUGUGGAGGUCUCAGCAAUAGUUCAGCUGUCUAGACAUAUGAAUCUACCCCCCCCAAACCAACCCCAAAAAAAAGAAAAAAAAGAGCCCCAACC
rnacentral:lncRNA from 1 species